rnacentral:lncRNA from 1 species
UGAAGGGUUUACACAAGUACAUAGGUUCAAGCUCUCCUUUAGUGAGUACAAGUGAAUGAUUUAGUACAAAUGACAUUAGAGUACAAAUGACAUUAGGAAAUAUUGUGGGAGAAUGAUCUCGUAAUCACGAAACUUCUAAGUAUCGGAGUGUGGUAUCGACUUGCCUUAUCUGUCUCAUAGGUAGAUGUGGCAGCUUCUCUGGAAGUACUCUUCCUCCAUCCAGGGGUGGUAUCUUUAACUGGUGGAGAUGCACAAGGUAAUGUAUCAAUUUCACUUGAAGCUUACUUGUAGUUUCAGGCUUGGUCAAGCGCGAUACAAACCAUGUAGUAGGAGUCCCCCAAGUCGCCGAGCUAGGGGAUUUUGCUGAAAGAGGUGACAGACAAGGUAAGCAAUCAGAGCUCCGGCUGAUUGUUCACCUUCUCCCCAUCUUGCAGCAGCAUGAAGGAUAAAGAGAAGAAAAAAUGAGAAGAGAUGAUAUGGGAUACUUUUGCUUUUGAAGAAGAAGUAACUUUCCACAGGCUUAUUCUUGAACUGAGCUGGAGGGUUUUCUGGUUUCCUCCAGAGUAUAAGGCCGACUGAAGAAUUUGAGGGUCAAAACAAGUCCAUCAAAUCUAGAGUACGUUCGACCCUGCUGAUAUGGGAUACUUUUGCUUUUGACAGAGUAAUGGAUGGAUCGGCACGUGUGCUGUUACGCUUGUCUCCACAUGCUUCCUUGUAUCCUUCGCACUUGCCCUAUCUGUUCCUCAAGCAGAUACGGUAUCUUCCCUGGCAACAUAAGAUGUUGAAGAUGAGUACUCGAGAGCAAUGCCAGGUAAGUAAUCAGGUAAGGGGUUCCAGGCUGUCAGUUCCUGGCUGGGAGCUUGAUUUCAAGUGCUGACUGAUUGCUCUCUUUCUCCUUGUCUUGCAGGUAAAAAACAAGGCCAAAGGAAAAGACAGGGAAAAAAGCAUGAUAUGGGAUACUCUUGCUUUUAACCCUGAUGAUAUGAGAUAUUCUUGCUCUAGUAUAGCUUGUUUGCAGAGGUAUUAUCGGGGGGAAAGAAAGCUGAAUAUUUUCGAAAGGCUUCGUUGGGAGUGCCCUCUCAGAUAUGAGGAAGGGUUGAGCAUUUUUGCAGGUCUGCCUGUCCGUUGGGGAUGGAGGUCGACAUAUAUAGGAGUCUCCCUAACAACAAGUAGUAAUGCUAUUCCUUUACCCUGCUUGGUCAUAGCACGGUAGUGGGAGCUGCCAGCUUCACAUGUUUUAACUCUGUCAGAGCACUUUGAAAAAGUGGUAUGUGGUAUCUGGCUCUCGAGAUUCGGAGAACGAUGCUUCUUCGAUUUUUGAGAAAGCAAUCAUGUGGGGGUCUGGCUCUCGAGAUUCGGGGAGCAGUGUCUCUUCGAUUUUUGAGAAAGUAAUCAUGUUGGGAGUCUGGCUCUCGAGAUUCGGAAGGCGGUGCCUCUUCGAUUUUGGAGUAAGCAAUCUUGUUGGGAGUGUGUUUUCUCGGAUGUGAGUAAAGGUUGGGCAUGUUUGCUAGUCUACCUUGCCACGAAGCACGGAGGUUGACACACAGGGACUUUCCAAUUAUCCAGCAGUGGUACUGUUCCUUUACCCUUGUGGGUAAUAAUAUGGUAGCUAGACCUUCAAAAUUUAUGUGUGUCUAAACUUUGUUAGUGCUGUUUCUUUGCUAUUCUUUUACCUUUCUUGGUCAGAGCGAUGUAGUGGGAGCUGCAAGCUUCACGUGCUCAACUUUGGCAGAGACUUUGACAAAGUUAUCUGUGGUACCCAUGAGCUAUUGUUGCGUGUGGGAAGUGGGUGAUUGAACAGUAAGAUUCAUGUGCUUUCUACUUCACCAGAAGUCUUCGACAGAAUGCCCAUAAUUUCCGCAAAGCUGAGUGUGCGUGUGACAGGUGCUGACAAGGCUAGAAAAGAAGGUGCCUCUUUGAUUUCUGAGAUCGGCCCUCGUGGUCUCUGAGCAGCCCAGCUUUUGAGAAAGCGAGCGCCUCUUCGAUUGAUUCGGAGAACGAUGCCUCUUCGAUUUUUGAGAAAGCAAUCAUGCUGGGGGUCUGGCUCUCGAGAUUCGGGGAGCAGUGUCUCUUCGAUUUUUGAAAAAGUAAUCAUGUUGGGAGUCUGGCUCUCGAGAUUCGGAGGGUGGUGCCUCUUCGAUUUUGGAGCAAGCAAUCUUGUUGGGAGUGUUUUCUCAAAUGUGAGUAAAGGUUGGGCAUGUUUGCUAGUCUACCUUGCCACGAAGCACAGAGGUUGACACACAAGGACUUUCCAAUUAUCCAGCAAUGGUACUGUUCCUUUACCCUCUCUUCGAUUUUUGAGAAAGUAGUCAUGUUGGGAGUCUGGCUCUCGAGAUUCGGAGGACGGUGCCUCUUCGAUUUUGGAGCAAGCAAUCUUAUUGGGAGUGUUUUCUCGAAUGUGAGUAAAGGUUGGGCAUGUUUGCUAGUCUACCUUGCCACGAGGCACAGAGGUUGACACACAGGGACUUUCCAAUUAUCCAACAGUGGUACUGUUCCUUUUACCCUUGUGGGUAAUAAUAUGGUAGCUAGACCUUCAAAAUUUUAUGGGUCUAAACUUUGUUAGUGCUGUUUCUUUGCUAUUCUUUUACCCUUCUUGGUCAGAGCGAUGUAGUGGGAGCUGCAAGCUUCACGUGCUCAACUUUGGCAGAGAACUUUGGCAAAGUUAUCUGUGGUACCCAUGAGCUAUUGCUGCGUGUGGGAAGUGGGUGAUUGGACAGUAAGAUUCAUGUGUUUUCUACUUCCCCAGAAGUCUUCGACAGAAUACCCAUAAUUUCCGCAAAGCUGAGUGUACGUGUGACAGGUGCUGACAAGGCUGGAAAAGUAGGUGCCUCUUCGAUUUCUGAGAUCGGCCCUCGUGGUCUCUGAGGAGCCCAGCUUUUUGAGGAAGCGAGCGCCUCUUCGAUUUCUGAGAUCGGCUUUCGUGGUCUUUGAGCAGCCCAACUUUUGAGAAAGCAAACACCUCUUCGAUUUAUGAGAUCAACCCUCGUGGUCUCUAAGCAGCCCAGCUUUUGAGAAAGCAAACGCCUCUUCGAUUUUCUGAGCAGGCGCCUCUUCGAUGUCUGAAGCUCCGUCGAGUGCAGCUUUUUAUAGGGGCUGGCAUUAAGUUCCAAAGCACACUUGAAUCUCCACCAGUAGAAGCUCCAUUCUUGCACUUCUAAGAUCUUGAUUUGUCCGACCUCUUCUCUCUUCAAUACCUUUGAAAAUGUCUGGCCCCUCCGACCGUCGUUUUGACUUGAACCUUGUUGAAGAGGCAGCCCCGCCUUCUCCAGACAACAUAUGGCGCCCAUCCUUCGUCUCCCCUACUGGUCCUCUUACCGUUGGGGAUUCCGUGAUGAAGAAUGAUAUGACCGCUGCGGUAGUGGCCAGGAACCUUCUCACUCCCAAAGAUAACAGACUACUUUCCAAACGGUCUGAUGAGUUGGCUGUUAAGGAUUCUCUGGCUCUCAGUGUUCAGUGUGCAGGUUCUGUGUCUAAUAUGGCCCAACGCCUAUUUGCUCGAACCCGCCAAGUUGAGUCAUUGGCGGCCGAAGUGAUGAGUCUCAAACAGGAGAUUAGAGGGCUCAAGCAUGAGAAUAAACAGUUGCACCGACUCGCACAUGACUAUGCUACAAACAUGAAGAGGAAGCUUGACCAGAUGAAGGAAACUGAUGGUCAGGUUUUACUUGAUCAUCAGAGAUUUGUGGGUUUGUUCCAAAGGCAUUUAUUGCCUUCGUCUUCUGGGGCUGUACCGCGUAAUGAAGCUCCAAAUGAUCAACCUCUGAUGCCUCCUCCUUCUAGGGUUCUGUCCAGUACUGAGGCUCCGAAUGAUCCCCUCCGAUGCCUUCUCUUUCUAGGGCUCUACCAACUGCUGAGACUUCUCCUAAGCAACCUUUGUGAAGGCUCCAUCUUGUUUUGUUUAUUUUGACUCAUGUAUAUGUACAUAUUUGUAGCUUAUCGGGGAUAUCAAUAAAUAAGUUUUCCUUCAUUUCAACGUAUUGUGUUAAAUACACCAAAGCCUUCUUCGCUAAGUUCUUUGAAUUUUCUUUUGUUGAAGCUUGUAUGUUGAAGCUUUCUGAGUGGAGCAUGUAGGUUGGGGUAGUGUUCCCUUAAAUUUUUCGAGUGAGGAAAACUUCUCGGUUGGAGACUUGGAAAAUCCAAGUCACUGAGUGGGAUCGGCUAUAUGAAUCUUAGAACGCCAUUGUGCUCGGUCCUGUGUCAUGUCCUUCGUUAGAUCCAAGUACUCUAAGUCUUUUCUUAGAGUCUCUUCCAAAGUUUUCCUAGGUCUUCCUCUACCCCUUCGGCCCUGAACCUCUGUCCCAUAGUCGCAUCUUCUAAUCGGAGCGUCAGUAGGCCUUCUUUGCACAUGUCCAAACCACCGUAACCGAUUUUCUCUCAUCUUUCCUUCAAUUUCGGCUACUCCUACUUUACCCCGGAUAUCCUCAUUCCUAAUCUUAUCCUUUCUCGUGUGCCCACACAUCCAACGAAGCAUCCUCAUCUCCGCUACACCCAUUUUGUGUACGUGUUGAUGCUUCACCGCCCAACAUUCUGUGCCAUACAGCAUCGCCGGCCUUAUUGCCGUCCUAUAGAAUUUUCCUUUGAGCUUCAGUGGCAUACGGCGGUCACACAACACGCCAGAUGCACUCUUCCACUUCAUCCAUCGAGCUUGUAUUCUAUGGUUGAGAUCUCCAUCUAAUUUCUCCGUUCUUUUGCAAGAUAGAUCCUAGGUAACGAAAACGGUCGCUCUUUGGUAUUUCUUGAUCUCCGAUCCUCACCCCUAACUCGUUUUGGCCUCCAUCUGCACUGAACUUGCACUCCAUAUAUUCUGUCUUUGAUCGGCUUAGGCGAAGACCUUUAGAUUCCAACACUUCUCUCCAAAGGUUAAGCUUUGCAUUUACCCCUUCCUGAGUUUCAUCUAUCAACACUAUAUCGUCUGCGAAAAGCAUACACCAAGGAAUAUCAUCUUGAAUAUGUCCUGUUAACUCAUCCAUUACCAACGCAAAAAGGUAAGGACUUAAGGAUGAGCCUUGAUGUAAUCCUACAGUUAUGGGAAAGCUUUCGGGUUUGUCCUUCAUGAGUUCUUACGGCAGUCUUUGCUCCUUCAUACAUAUCCUUUAUAGCUUGGAUAUAUGCUACUCGUACUCCUUUCUUCUCUAAAAUCCUCCAAAGAAUGUCUCUUGGGACCCUAUCAUACGCUUUUUCCAAAUCUAUAAAGACCAUGUGUAAAUCCUUUUUCCCAUCUCUAUAUCUUUCCAUCAAUCUUCGUAAGAGAUAGAUUGCCUCCAUGGUUGAGCGCCCUGGCAUGAACCCGAAUUGGUUGUCCGAAACCCGUGUCUCUUGCCUCAAUCUAUGCUCAAUGACUCUCUCUCCCAGAGCUUCAUUGUAUGACUCAUUAACUUAAUACCCCUAUAGUUCAUGCAAUUUUGUACGUCGCCCUUAUUCUUGUAGAUAGGCACCAAAGUGCUCGUUCGCCACUCAUUUGGCAUCUUCUUCGUUUUCAAAAUCCUAUUGAAAAGGUCAGUGAGCCAUGUUAUACCUGUCUCUCCCCAAAACUUUCCACACUUCGAUUGGUAUAUCGUCUGGGCCUAUUGCUUUUCUAUGCUUCAUCUUCUUCAAAGCUACAACCACUUCUUCCUUCCGGAUUCGACGAUAAAAAGAGUAGUUUCUACACUCUUCUGAGUUACUCAACUCCCCUAAAGAAGCACUCCUUUCAUGUCCUUCAUUGAAAAGAUUAUGAAAAUAACCUCUCCAUCUGUCUUUAACCGCGUUCUCUGUAGCAAGAACCUUUCCAUCCUCAUCCUUGAUGCACCUCACUUGGUUUAGGUCCCUUGUCUUCUUUUCCCUUACUCUAGCUAGUUUAUAGAUAUCCAACUCUCCUUCUUUGGUAUCUAGUCGUUUAUACAUAUCGUCGUAAGCCGCUAACUUAGCUUCUCUGACCGCUUUCUUCGCCUCUUGCUUCGCUUUUCUAUACCUUUCACCAUUUUCAUCGGUCCUCUCCUUGUAUAAGGCUUUACAACAUUCCUUCUUAGCCUUCACCUUUGUUUGUACCUCCUCAUUCCACCACCAAGAUUCCUUUUGGUGUGGGGCAAAGCCCUUGGACUCUCCUAAUACCUCUUUUGCUACUUUUCGGAUACAACUAGCCAUGGAAUCCCACAUUUGGCUAGCUUCCCCCUCUCUAUCCCACACACAUUGGGUGAUUACCUUCUCUUUGAAAAUGGCUUGUUUUUCUUCUUUUAGAUUCCACCAUCUAGUCCUUGGGCACUUCCAAGUCUUGUUCUUUUGUCUCCCUCUUUUGAUAUGUACAUCCAUCACCAACAAGCGAUGUUGAUUAGCCACGCUCUCUCCUGGUAUAACUUUUGCAAUCCUUACAAGUUAUACGAUCCCCUUUCCUCAUUAGAAGAAAAUCUAUUUGUGUUUUUUGACGACCCACUCUUGUAGGUGAUCACAUGUUCUUCUCUCUUCUUAAAGAAGGUGUUGGCUAAGAAGAGAUCAUAUGCCAUUGCAAAAUCCAAGAUAGCUUCCCCAUCCUCGUUUCUCUCCCCAAAACCAUGGCCACCAUGAAAACCUCCAUAGUUGCCUGUCUCCCUGCCCACGUGUCCAUUUAGAUCUCCUCCUAUAAAUAACUUCUCCGUCUGAGCAAUUCCUUGCACCAAGUCUCCAAGGUCUUCCCAAAAUUUCUCCUUCGAACUCGUAUCCAACCCUACUUGAGGUGCGUACGCACUAAUCACAUUGAUAAGUUCUUGUCCUAUUACAAUCUUGAUUGCCAUGAUUCUAUCUCCUACCCUCUUGACAUCUACAACAUCUUGUGUCAAGGUCUUGUCCACGAUGAUGCCAACACCGUUUCUCGUUCUAUUUGUGCCCGAAUACCAAAGUUUAAACCCUGAGUUUUCUAGAUCCUUUGCCUUACUACCAACCCACUUAGUUUCUUGUAGGCACAUAAUAUUUAUCCUUCUCCUCACCAUAACUUCCACUACUUUCCAUAGAUUUUCCCGUUAAGGUUCCUAUAUUCCACGUUCCUAAACGCAUUUUGCUCUCUUGAACUCUACCCUUCUGUCCUAGCUUCUUCACCCUCCCCCGUCUAAUAGGAUCAAAGUACUUCUUUUGUGUGUCCCGUGUAAAGUUGAUAGGAGCAUAUGCUCCCAAACAACUUUGAGUGGAGUCGUUCGAAAAGAAGUUUCUACGGCCCCCUUGCUCAUUUAACACUGCAUCCGGGUGCCGAUGGAGAUACAGCGACCCUUGCUCACUUAUCACUGUGCUCGGGCCACACAGCGCGCCACUUACGGGUGACGCCCUAGCUUUAGCGCGAUUUUGUUCUGGAUUCAUUUUCAUAAGGAUUCGACGUGAUCAUGGAGUGCCGGCUGUCGACUACCUGACGCCCUCCCCCUCCUCCUUUAUCCGGGCUUGGGACCGGCAAUGUAAAAUUACAUAGGCAGAGUUAGAAUGCAAAGCAAGAAAGGAUAAAAUGUAUUGCUAAUCGCCACAAGAACGCAAUCGUAGUUUAUCUAAUCCAAACAAGAUGAACCGCAGAAACAUCAUUAGCCACAAAUCUAAACAACAUUACUCUCAAAUGAAACGAAAAUGCGAACCGCAGAAACGUCAUUAGCCACAAAUCAAGACACAAGGUUUCCACUUAUGCAGACCAAACUAUUCAUGGGUACAAAUCGAAAACUCAAAAAAUUGAAAGCAAAGCGAAGCUGUACAACUUACUUGCCCUCAUAGACUUUGGCAUGAGCUCCCUCACCAAUUCUUGGCCCAACAAACAGAUGCUUGGGAUCAAUCAGCCAUUUGGCAUCCAAUCUGAACUCAUCAGCUGAGUAAAACCUACUCCCAGAUUCCAUCUUUCUACACAACCAAACAAUCCAGCAUCAAAACCCAAAAUCCAUAUAACAUAAUAUCAGAAACCCAAAAGCCAAAAAGCACUUGUUGAGAAGCUAACUCAUUCAUUGAUUCUCUGUGAGUGGAUAAGCUGACACAAAAGAGAUAAGCAGCAUCCCAAAGCUCAAAAAACUCACAGGAAGGAGGAGAUGGUACUUACAUGUCCUUGGAGAAGGCAAAAGCAUGGAACCCCACAUGUUCUAACAGAGAGCAGACUCUGACAGCAAAAGCCCCAAAACAAAAGCUCAAUGCCCAAAGUGCUUUUUUUUUUGCUUGGCAAGUUUUUAUGGGGAAAUGAGAAGAAAAAAUCCCUCAGAAAGGCAAGACCAUAAGGUCCAGAAGCAGAUUAGCAAAAGCACCUCCCCAAGUGAAAACUAGAGUACUGCAUACGUAUGCUAGUUUGAUUAAAACUCCAUAGUCCCCAUCAUUGAGGGUAAUUAAAUGGGGUGCGAUGAGAUUUGUGGGAUUAAUUAACCUCUGAUGGAAACAGUGGUUUCAGUCUUGAUCUGCAGCUGGAGUCAUGGGAAGGGAGAGAGCCUAAAGAUCAAGUUUUUAAGAAUUUGGUGUGUGUGUGUGUGUGUGUGUGUGAGGAGAGAGAUGAGAGAGAAGGGAGUGUUGAAUAUAUUGUAGUUAAGUGGGUGGGAGUCAUAAACUAAUCUAGAGCACAUGGAAACUGAUCUUGUCAACAUGGAGGGUAAACUGGUAAAGCUACUCAAACAACAUGAGUACUUUCUAGUUCCUUCCUAUCUUUUACUUGUACUUCACUUCAAUCAUAGCUAAUCAUUUAAUUUCUGGUUUUAACAGUCUCCACUUCAAACUGAACGACCGAAUAUUUUACGACUUUUACUUAAAAAAUAAGUGUUAUAUACGUACUUCUAGAUAAGUAAUAAAGAUCGAUUCGUUAUAUGUAAGGAGUCGAACAACAUUACUUGAAAGAAAAAGAUGUGGCAAGAAAUGCAAGGGUGUGGAGGCAGUUAAAAAGGCGAGAGGCAAACGGUGGGAAAGGAGAUGAGAUAUGUUGGUAAACGAGCAAUCCAUGCAGCAAAAAAUCUUAUCCUUUCCCUCCAAAUCACUUGCAACGUUCGAGUCGUGGACUAAAAAAAGGAUAUACAGGAUAAGUCGCUUCGACCGUCCAAUUUGCCGUGCAAAUUUGGCAACUCCAGUUACUCCACCUUUUUUCCAAAGGCACGAGACCGGACAAACGGGUUAUUUUUGUUGUUUAUAUGUCAUUCAUAUUAUCUUAACAAAUCUAUGUCCUGUUAAACUAGUUACUUAAACAGAUUUUUAAACUAAAUGACCCGUUAAUGAUCCAACUUGUGAAUAGGUUGUGCUAUUUCGUGUCAGAUUAAUAAGUCACGCAAAAGAAUUUUAUAAUUCACUAUCUAGACCUGCAAAUCGAUUGUGUUCGUGUUAUUUACGUAUCAUACUUGUUACCUUAACAAGUUCUUAACAAAUAGCUCAAUUAGAACCUAAUUCGUUAACGGAUGACCAACAACUACCCAACUCGUUAACAGACAGACUCGAAACUUGUUAUUUUCGUGUUAUUUCAUGCCAAAUUAACAAAUUACACAAAAAAAUUGCCGUACCUAUCUUACAUGCAACCAUAAUGCUAAAACACCUAUAUCUCAAGCGUAUCACACACCAGAGCAAUUAAUUAAGAUACUAUCAUCUUAACGUCCCAGUUGCAUAUAACAGAAGUAUAAAUAAAGUGGUGGGACAUUAAAUAACAUAGAAAUCAAUAAAGACUAAAUGGCCACAUGAAUACAUAACGUAGAAUAUAAUAUUAAAUCCAAAACUUAGAUAUCAGUACCAAUUUACUAAAACAUAAUUACAUACUAAGAAAAAGAUGCACAUGGACAUGGUCCCCAAAAGCAAGCAAAGCAUCAGAUUGCAUAUCGAAAAAUGCCAGUCCAUUAUUUCUGAGAUAAUAUAUAUAUAUAUAUAUAUAUAUAUAUAUAUAUACUAGGAAUAUAUAAUAACAUGAUUUAUUAGUAGUUGUCUUCCAUCUAAAGCUGCUCCCCGUUGAUCAGAUCCAUAACCACACGCUUGAUGCUUCCAUUGUUCUUCACCAGCAGCUUCUUGUUCAUUUCGGUAUCACAGAAACCCUGCACACAGCGAUCGUACUCAGGAUACACCGAAAAUUUGGAGAGGGAACUAUCCGUCAAGAUUUUGUUACAGUCGGGUUGUACAAACUUACCAUUUCCUGCAGCUCUUCAAGGAUGGGAUCCCAGUCAGAAACCUCGCAGAGAUCAUCGACAGACUGCUCCAUGUUGUAGUCAUUCAAACGCAGAAUCUCCUUGUUCAAAUUGACCUGCUUAAAUCCCAUCGCCUCGAGCUCCUUCAGCAUGGUGUCUUCCACGGCAUUGUUUGAACUGGUCCCUUCAGAUGAUGCUGGUGCAUUGACAACAAGUGAAAAUUUGGGGGAGGGCGGAGAUGGUUCAAAGAUAUCGACAGUGGGAUACAACACGGUUGAAGAACCCUGUGGCUUAACAGUGGGAUACAACACAGCUGAAGAACCUUGUGGCUCAACAGUGGGGUACAUCACAGUUGAAGAACCCUGUGGCUCAGUAGGGGCAGAAGCGCUGUGGCCAACCAGCAAGCUAUCAUUGAUGGGGAAGUGGAGCUCCUGGUCAUGUCCAGGCUGCUCAGUAGGCAUGGGCUUCACCGGUUCCUUAAGUGGGCUAGAACCAGAAGGCUGGAGAAAGUCACUGCCAGCAGCUGGUUGAAGGUUCACAUCUAUUUUUUCAGAUUCUUUUGGGGGCAGAUUCAAGUUCAGACCCUGAAAACUCUCAAAGAAUGAAUCCUUCAAGGAUGUAUCAACCUGCACAAGGGAAUAAAGGAUCAGAAGAGUUGUCUAGUUACGGGCAUUAGGUAUAAAGUUGUUCCGGAAACAUCCGCCUGUAUGCAUAAUAAAAGUAGAGGUCAUCAAAAGAACACAAUUAAUAAUAUGGAAGAUACCUGAAUCAGGACCCAAACACGUUGCCCAAACUUUUGGCCAGAUGAGGUUGCCAUCCGCCAGUAUGAGAUGUAGCGACCAGGUGACUCGGGUGCAGUAAAAUCAACGGCAAUGUCAAUUUCAUUUUCAGCCGGCACACCAUCCGCAGGAAUCUAUAACGAACCAUGAAAUUAAAAAAUGACAACAAAAAAUCUCUGAAAUAAAAGAACUAAAACAAAAAUGAAUAGAAGUGCCAACUAAAACCCAGGAAAUAUGGAAAGACAACAAAAAAGUAAAUAUUAAAUGCUACUUGAACAAUUCCAGAACAAUGUCAAAGUAUGCCACCUCUAUUUCAACUGAAUCUGAAUUGCUAAAUCUGUCGCCCCCAAUCCACACAAGUGUUGUUCCUUGAGGCCACACCAUACCACCGUUGUUGCGCAUCCGCCAUAUUUUGGUAAAUGGAGUAGAUGGGGCUAUAAAGGUACCAUCCAUUACAUUGACAUCCAAUACAAAGCGGCUAUCAAGCUUAGGGCGGCCUUGCUUCAUACUACCUCUCAAUAUUUUUGGCAUAACUGGGGGACCUACCCAUGGAGGCUGUCAUUAAGAAUGAAAAAGAAAGGUCAAAUUCGUAACAAAAAUAAAAUAUGGUAUCUAUGGGGAAGAAAAAGUAUUAGAGGGAUCUACACACUUGCUCAUACAACCCCUUGAAGGGCCGUGGAUGACGAUGAGAGAUAGGGUGGUCAAUCCUAAUGUAAUCAGUUGCACUACCCUUACUGGCAAAACAGAUCCGGCAGAGGUCAUAAUCCUCUUUCCUGCAGAAAAGAAACAGAAAGUAACGUCAAUAAUCUGAGUUCAACAACGUUUCACUACCAACUUAGCAUCACAUAUUUGAUAAGUUCCAUUCUUACACUAUUGACUUGAAUCGAGGUCCAACAAUUGGAUGACAACCACAGCCAUCACAGCGAACACCUGUAUGGAACAUACCACCCAUCGCUUCGGAGUGAUUUCUUUUGAAAGGAAUGCGCCGACAGGCAGCAGGAGUAGCUGAGUCAUUAGCAAUGGGAGUCCCUGUAAAUGGACAUUCGUUGAAACGAGUACUAAUCAUAUCAUGAAUAUUGCUUGCAGCACGAGCUGAACUUGCGGACGGACCACAACCAAAAGGCUUCUUGCUGUGAAGUUUCUUUUGAAUAUUGAGACGACCAUUGGGAAGCUGCUUAGACUCCUUCCUUGCAUCACUGGUAUGAAGACUUGAUCCAGCUGGUGAAUCAUUAAUGGGCAUGGGUCCUGAUAGAUUAGAAUCUGUAGGAAGGAAAUUGAGAUCAAGAGUUGCAUAAAGAGGUGGAGCAGACAUCCCCACAUCCUUGGUCACAUUCACAGAGUCUGUCGCCUGACCUUUUUUGGUGCUUGAUUCCUCAGCUGCAGAGAUGGGUUCUGACCUGCCAUCACCCUUCAGAUCAUUUGACUUAGAAGCAGCUGGGGGAUCCACGGGACUCUUAGAGGCGCCGUUUUGCUUGCCCGAAUCUCCAGCGGUCUGAACCUGGGCAUCUGGAAUCAAGUACGACAGGCCCAUCUUCGAAAAGCAGUCAACAAGCUCCGCAAACACUGGACUGGAUGAUGCAACUUUUGAAGCCAAAUCAAGAGGAAACUUUGAAGCGAAUUCCCGAAGUGGCUCUGGCAGGGACUUCAAAACUUCGGCAACAUCAGCAUUAAAAUCUGGUAUUGGAGUUUGACCUUGAGGGGACCUCAGAGGAGUAGAACUUCCACUUGACUUAGCAGAUUUGUCCUUGUUAAUCUGUACAUAUAUCUUCAAGAAUUUGAGCUUCUGCCUCAUCGUGUCAUGCAGAUCACCAUCAUCAACAAGAGUUACUACAUCACCAUCUUCAUCAACGUACGCCAAAGUGAUGUCAGCAUCAGAGUGGAGAUUGAAAAGACUCAAGAUCUUUUCUCGCAAUCCACUCAUGUCAAGAUCCAGUUGAUUGUUCUCAUUGACACUAGCAUUGAAACGCCUCAGUGUUUCCGCAUAUUGAACCUUUAGAACAACCAGUUACAUAUUAGUACAUACGAAAGUAACCAAAUAAACCUUUUCAAAAUCCAAGAAUUCAAUAAAAAUGUUAAACACUUGCAAAUGACAAAAUCAAAUUGGAGUCUGAAAACAGCACGCAAAAUUUGCCAAAAUUCAACCGACCCAUGAACAAACUAAUCAGGGUUACCUAGAUUAACCACGUUACUUCUCCGAUCAUCCAAAUAAAUCAACAAUCUUUCCGAGAAAAUAACAUUCAAUCAAAUAAACAUGCCAGGCAUCAAAACUCAAAAUUCAAAAAAUUAUCAUCACAUAAACCCUCUUCAAUUACAAAAAAAAAAAAAAAAAAACCGACAUAAAUUCAUCAAUCAAGAACCCCAUUUCAUCCCACAGCUCAGUUGCAUGUCAAAUUUCCAAACCUCUUUCCCUUAUCCCAAAUUUUUCCCGUCAACCAAACAGAGAAUAACCAAAAACCCAUAUCAAAUUCGGAAACGAAAGUUCGAAAAGAUCGCACCUUGAUAACCUUGGUCGACGCCAUAGCUGCAGAAACAACCAGUGUGCUCCAAAUCCGAGAACUAGAAGUAAAACCCUAACCCUAAACAAUCUUAGAACCGUUCGAGAACGAGAAAAUCGGACGUUAUCUCGGAACCCCAAGCGUACCCGUCAGCCGCUACUACCGCCUCUCUCCCCCUUUCUCUCUCUCUCUCUCUCUUUCUCUCUCUAGCUUUCUCUCUCUACGAAUCGCAAAGCGGAAAUACAGACGGAGCCUGGGUGCCUGUAUAUUUAUAUUAUUAUAUAUCGCUCUUGGCUUGGCGAAUAAGAAAAUUAAUUAUUUCUGGUUUUCUUCUCGCCAAAGAUAGGGGCGCCGUGCGCGGAUACAUUAAGGCGCGGUUGUGUUCUGGUGGUUGGAGGACCGUCGUAAUGGUGUGGAACCUCAUACACGGAGGCGUUAUUUUAUUUCUGUGUGUAAUCUUUAGUGGUCGUGUUGACCCAAUGCCAUUCUUGAUAAACAUGGAAUUUAUGACGCUAAAACUACUAGGGACGUUUUGAUAUAGGACGGGACAUGAUGAAGAUUCACAACACAAUUACGUAACGUUAUUAUUGUUCUUAUAUUAUAGCACGUGCCUGAUCAUGUAGUCUCUCUUUAUUAAAACAUGAAGAAUGAUAUAAUCACAAAACAUAUGUUCCUAGCACUUAUAAAAAUUUCUCGUGCUACAUGUUUGUUUACACGAAUUGGAGGAGAUUGAACGAGUACGUGUUUAUCUACACAAAUUAGAAAAGAGUGUGAAUGAGUACAUGAUAUCGUGAUCAAUUGCCCCUUUUAAUCAAUUUAAUUGCUUAUCUUUUUCGCAUAUUGAAUUAGGGAUUUCCUGUAAGAACGUACUUUAUUUGAUUUCAUAUGUUCUAAGAAACGUAAGAGAAAAUAAAAACUCAUCUAUUAACCAUGUCAAGAUUUACUUUCAAUGAUUACAUGUUAGCGUAUUAAACAUCAACAAUUUAAUAAUUGGGUAAAUCGCCAAAAUAAUCUCUGAGAUUUGCAUAACUCAUCACUUUGGUCCCUGAGAUUUCAAAUCGAUAAAAGCGGUCCCUGAGAUUGUCCACCAUCCAUCAUUUUGGUCAUUCCGUUAAAAACUCUACUAAGUGUCCCGGAUCUCUUGGCCAAAAGUUUGGGCAAUUUUCAAAGCUUUGUAACUUAACCGUUUCUUAACCAAAUUCGACCCAUAAUAUAUCAAAAUAAAGAUAGGAAAGUGUAGAAUAAGAUUAUAUCUAUUUCAAAGCCCAAUGGUUGUCGAAGAUGGCCGGAUAAUAGCCUCAAAGUUGACUGGUCCGAGAGAAAACUGGAAAACUCGCCGGAAACUAGGUAAACUUUAAACGUUCAUAACCUCUUCAAUACUCAAUGAAAUCAAGUGAUUCAAAAAAUGAAAUUCAUACUUCUCGACGAGACAAAGAGAAUGGUAACUUUUUUUACUGCCCGAUCGCCGUGGUUUGGCCGGAAAACGCCUCAAAAGUGGCUAACUGGAGACCAAGACAGCCACUUUCAAGCCGUUUUCCGGCCAAACCACGGUGAGUUAGCCGUCAAAAAAGGUAACAUUCUCUUAUUAUCGUCGAGAAGUAUGAUUUUCGUUUUUGAAUCACUUGAUUUCGUUGAGUAUUGAAGAAGUUAUUAACGUUGAAAGUUUACCCAGUUUCCGGCGAGUUUUCAAGUUUUCACUCGGAUCAGUCAACUUUGAGGCUAUUUUCCGGCCAUCUCUGGCAACCAUUGGGCUUUGAAAUAGCUAUAAUCUUAUUCUACAUCUUAUCUUCAUUUUGAUAUGUUAUGGGUCGAAUUUGGUUAAGAAACGAUUGAGUUACAAAGCUUUGAAAAUUGCCCAAACUUCCGGCCAAGAGCUCUGGGUCAUUAACGGAGUUUUUAACGGAAUGACCAAAAUGAUGAAUGGUGGACAAUCUCAGGGACCACUUUUAUCGAUUUGGAAUCUCAAGGACCAAAGUGACGAGUUAUGUAAAUCUCAAAGACUAUUUUGGCGAUUUAGCCUUUAAUAAUUUUUAUAACUAUAAGUAAACAUUUGAUCAUUUCCACGAAUUGCUCUACAACUCAAGCAAUUACGAGCAUUUGCAAAAUACAAAGAAGACAAUCAACUCAUAUCACAAAGAAAUAAAAGAAAAGGAACAAGCUAUAUAUCUAUAUUCCAAUAUAUAUGUUAAUUGGCCAGCAGACUCAAAAUUGCUGCACAAGCCAAACAAAGCAACAAGGCCUCCCAUUUUCUUUAAGUUGAGCACAAAAACAAGCUCACUUGCAGAGGAGGUGUAGUAGAAGCAAUCAACACUCCGAUCCAUGUCGCCGGGAUAAUAACCAAACUGACACUACGAGGGCCAACGCCGCUAACCACAAUUUCGCAACCUUGUCGUUGCAGGCGCCACAGCGAAUGCCUGCGUCGCACAUCAUACCACAUUCGUCUUCAGAUUGUUUAACCCUAGGACUAACAGGGUGAUCAUAAUUUGCCAGAUGGAAUUCAUCAAACACAUUGCUAUUACUCACAUCACUUGUCGCAUUUACAGCAUCCGUCACGAGACAUUUUUCGGAGCUUGAGUUUUUACCGCGGUCUUCCUUGUCAUCGUUCAUCAGCACAUCGAUCCUGAAGGGUUCCAGACGCUGCCUCAUUGCUUCCCGCAGAUCAUCAUCGUCCACAAGAGUAACUACAUCGUAGUUUUCAUCAAUGUACGAGUAAUGUCAGCAGCGGGUGGGAGGGCACAAAGGCUGCGAAUUUCUCUCCGCAAUCCUCCCAUGUCGAGAUCCAGUUCGCCAUUGUUAUCAACACGAGCACUGAGAUGCCUCACUCUGCCGGCAGCUCUAACCUUCAUCACACAAACAGUGAGAUGUUAGUAGCAUUCAAAACUAAGCAACCAAAUAAAAACAUAACACAAUCUGGAAAGUCUCAGUACCCAGAAACACAAUUUGCAAAUUAAUUUUCCCAGAGAGGCAAAAUUAUCAAUUUUAUCCGACUACGGCCUGUCAAGAUUUUAGAGAGACAGACAAGCGGCCCUCUACAACUCAUACAGAUAUGAUCCACCCAACUUGCAUCUCACAACCUACUAGCACAUCAUAUUUUCUCCCUGAUUUUCUCAGCAACCAAACAGAUCAGAGCAUAACAAAACCCAACAAACAAAAAUCUCACAUUCUUACCUUAGAGGUUCCGAAAUAGCGGACAUCGAUGACCGCUGUGGAGGCCAUCGCUCCACAGAAGGAGCGGUCAGAGAAGAAUGAAGUUGGAGAAGAUGAUUCAGAGACUUUAAAGAUUCAAAGUCUUCGCAAGCCCUCGACUUUUUGGGGUUCAAAAUUCCAACUUUUUGGUGGUCCUGCUGUUCACACUUGGGCGGCAAAAAGAUAAUAGGAGAGACGUAAUCGUAAUGGCGUUUGACGGCAAAAAGUAAUAUUAGCAACAGUUACUCCUUAUUUUUGUCAAAAAUGUCUAUUGAUUCGGUAGAAAUAUAGACUUUCGACUAAAUUUCAGAAUGCUUGUUCUACGUUAAUAAAAACAACGUUAUAGGAGGAUAUUCCUAUAACGAAAGCAGAAUCUAAGAAAAAAAAAAAUCGAAAUGUCCUACAUUUGGACGUACAUUUCCUGGUUUGGACUGCGUUGCUGAUAUUGUAUCGCUGUCCGGCCGAAAGCACCAAAAGAAUCUGUGAUCUAUCUGAAUGUGAAUGAUAGUGAGGCUAAAGAGUGUGUGUCAAAGGGAAACGUCUGGUCCCGGUGCCAAGAGAAUCUCCUGCUUGACGAAUUCGAAUAUUUCCUUGAGUCGAUGGGCGAAUUUCCCUACGAUGUUGCGUGUGACCCUGUCCUGAAACUUUGUCCUUUUAAGCCAGAAGACCCUGACAUGAACAUUGCAUUUACAUGCAUUAUGAGCCAUGGCAGAUUUCUCGAUGCGGAACCUGAGCUGAACCUGCACGAUGAAGCGAAUAUUUGUAUUAAGCGAGAAUGUAGGCAAUGUCAAAAGGUAGCAAUUCUCAGUUUGAUGUCAAUUACACGAAAGUGAUCCUCAAAUGGAACGCCUUGCAGGGCCAUAACUUCAUCCACGAUCCAUCCUUCACCGUUUGCCAAGGGGGACUUUUCUUGUCUGCAUGUAACCUCUCCUCCAAAGAUUGAGACCUGGCGGUUGAACCUGUAAGAUAGAUGUCGUUCAAAGACAUCCGGCUUUUUUGUAGGUUCCCAUGCGGUAGUUACAUAGUUAAGACAGCAUGAUUUCCCCAUGAUUUUAUGCUCCAACUUUCCUCCCUCGAAAAUUUCCAUCAGAGAUUUUAUCUGCGCCAACUCUAAUUGUUAGUCACCCAUGUUACGUUGUCAAAUCGUCAACCAAGGCUAUGAAGUCAGAUACAAUUUCACCUGAGCAAGAGUCUUCGUUUCACUAAAGAAACGAAGUUCAAAGCUGAAUAACAAAUCAUGCAGUAUAAACUCUUUAACGAUUAACAAAGCAAUAAAAAGGAAAAAGAGAAGAUAACCAACAACUUACGUUAAUAGGUAGUUCUGCAGUAUAAACUUUGGACAUCUUUGCAUCCUCAAGAUUGAAUAUGGAUUCAGUGUCUUCAAACAUUAUGGGGAUGUCUUCUUGAUCAAAAUGUUCUUCAGCAAUUUGUGUUUUCUGGUCAGCACUAAGUGUUCUCGUUCUCCACAAGCCCAUUAUUGUCCUGCCAGGAAAACGUAAUCAGUCAUCAAAUGCUUUCUACAUGUAUAAAGACUAUGGCAAAAAGGAAAUCAUUUGUCUUAAACAUUUAUACAGUUCCCUAAUACCACUACCUGCUGGCUGAAUUAGACGAUAAAAAUGAUUGGAAAUGAAAUUUCAGCCUGCCUUCAUCGUCUUGACACCUUGCACCAUGCCUUGCAUCAAUUCCUCGAUCCUUUUUUAGAACAAUGGCCAGCAAGGGGCUUCCCACAGAUGAUAAGGAUGGGGGAAGAACUUGGAUAUCUUCAAUAUCCUCCCAAAGAAAGAAAAAUUUUGUUUUGUGUCCAAACAAGCUUGAGUAAAACCCAACUAUCCUUGCAGAUAGAAAGAGUCGGCCCUGCAACAGCAAGUCAUCGUUGCUAUAAUCAGAUAUGCGCACGCACUGAACAUACAUGCACACACACAAAGGCUUCAUAGAAGUUAACAUAUAAAGUGUGCUCAACGCAGCGGAAUUUGUCAUUCCUCAUCUAACUUAUACCACACAAAUAGAAGUUAACAUAUCUUUCUUAUCCUGUAUAAUUGAGCUCAGAAGAACCCAGAUUUAAUUGGAAUACUAGAAGAUCUAAAAUAUCUAUAAAUUUAUUGUAAUUUAUUCUUUAUUUUACAAGUAGUUGAAUAGCAUGAUAGAAACCAAAUAUGGCACCUGUAAAGGCAUUUUCCUCCUCAGGGAGCAUGUAAAAUCACUGAUAAGAAAUUCUUCUGGUGGCAACCCAAACAAUUUCUGAAAUGUUGAAUUCCUGUGAGGCGAUCGCAGAUUCAACUGUCAAACCAAGCAGAGUUUUGAUCAACAUCUAGAGUAGAAAUUAGGCUCAAUUGUAGGUUUUUUUUUUUUUUUUUUUUGUCAAGAGAAUAAUGUUAAACGUGCAGCAACAAAAAUAUAACCUGUAAGAGGGAAACUCAUGUACAUAAUAGUUUGGUUAACUCAAGAAGAAAAGAAAGAAGAAAUCGUGACGCAAAGUCCUCACCUUCAUUCCAACUUCCCUCUCCAUUUUGGUCAUAUACUCCCUAAUUGUUUCAGCUCCUUUGUUCUUGUCCAAAAAGAUUCUGACGUGCAACUUUGAUUGAGAAGACUGGGCAAGCUUUCCGUCAAGGGAGACCCACAAAUCUGCAAGUUCGGUAGCUGAGUGUUUAAGAAAAUUGAUCUCAGCAUGUCCAAGUGAUGUAGCUCGGUCAAAUGGGCCAUCAAAAUCAAAAACUUCAACAUCCAGAACUGAUGGCGGUUCUUCCAUAGCAUCAAACUCAAGUAUAUCUGCAUCACAUUUGCAAGAAGGCAUCAGUAAAUAUAUACAACAACAACAAAGCCUUUUCCCACUGAGUGGUGUCGCAUCAGUAAAUAUAUGGUUGAAAAAAAAAUGGACAAAGAAGGAAAAAGUCGUCACCGUUCCAUUGAGGAUCACUUGUUUGAAGCUUGACAGAGCUUGCUCUUGUUUUACCAUUGCAGGUGAAAACCACAUAGGGAUCAGAGAACCCUGAUGAAUGCAAGGAUGCUAAGCUGUUCCCUUCAAUCAAAGCAACAGUAAGAACCCAUCCAUCACCUUGUGCUUUGACUCCAUUAUCACUUCCUAUUGAAAGAGACCGAACGAUUGAGUAAAUCCCAGGACAGUGUUAAAGAUGUGACAUCAAGUGUGAAGGCACUGUAGACUCGAAUAGUUUAGUAAAGUUAAUGCGAUGCUAUAAAUGUGACUACCUUUCUGCAACCUAGCUUGUACAAAGUGUAAAACCAUGUUAUAAACGCGCUCCAACUGAAGGAUGAGAAUUCCACAUGUGAUGAGCUCUCCAAAACUGUGUGGCAAAUCAAGUCCGAUAAAUUCCAAGCCCUGGGGUGUACUGGGCUCACAAAGUAGAAUAUGAACCAGGACAUACAGAACCAUAAAGAUAGUGGUAACUAGAGUGAAAUUCCAGAAGUAUUCAGUUGCCAACUUCAAAUCUGAUUGUUGCCCUGCCUUCGUACUUGCCAGGAUAUGAUCCUUGUCAGACAAGUCUGUUGAAUCCAGCGUUUUGAAAUUCCGAGCCAGCAAGCUGGAAAACUGACCAAAACUCUCCUCAAGUCCCUGUCGAACUCCUCGUUCAAUCAUGCCUUUCAUCAUUGUGUUCUGGAGAAAGUUAAUGUCCCAGGAUACCACCAGACGGGAGGAUUGUUCCGCUGAAGGUAGCUCUGGUCCAGACAUUAUCUUGUAAAGCAACUCAACCUUGAAUGAAUUUCCAUAUGGAACAUCAGGUGUACUCGCACUGAUUAAUACAGCAAAUUCCUUUCCAUCUGCUGUGAUAUACGUUUGCUCCUCUGUGGCCUUAGCAGCCUUAACUAACUUUGAGGCAGCUUUUGUGUAGGAAACAACUCGUGUCAAACAUGGCAUCUCUCCGGAUUUCCACGUCCAAGGCCCCUCCUGUAGAUCUGUUGUCCCCUGCAGUUCUGCAAGAUCUGUCCUAAACUGUGAAUUUGGGGUAAAAAGAGAUGCAUUAAGAUCAUGUUGUGAAACAGCAUAUGCCUGAUCAAUAAGAAUCCCUCCCAGCAGAUUCUCCGGCAGUUUUUGUUCGCUUCCUCUUGACCGCAUCAUCUCAAGAGACUCUUUAAAGCUACAACUACUUUGAUGCUCCUCCACACAAUCUUCAUAAUCAGAUACUGGAGUAGACAACUCCGAAGAAUCACCUGUUUUUGACGCUUCAUCGUUCUUAUGCAUAAGCUUGUCCAUACGUCUCACAAUAGCCUUCAACAACUGUAUACCACCUGGCAUCUUGGAACAUAAAGAUUUGGAAGAAAAGACACUGUGAGUUGACAUAAAUGGACUGUCCACCUCAUUAGGUUCCUCAAGGCUUAUAUUUGAAUGAUCACUGAGAAGGUAAUCAAUGGAAGCAUCAUGGCCUUUUUCAUGCAGAGAAAGGGUGAGAAGAAUUUUCCCUGCAUAUGAACGGCAAUGAUUCAAUCAAUACAGAGAUCCCAUUGAUGCUUAAAAUGCUAGAAAGGACAUAAUGCGCCGUAACAAUGCCCGAGUCAACAACUUUGUUUGACAAACUAAAGCUUAGGCCUAAGAGGAAGACAAUGCCAGUCAAUUUAGUAAAAAGGCAAAUUUCUUCCCUACCAGAAUCUUUCCCAUGAUCCAAUAAAAGGUGAUGAACUGAAAAUUACGACUCAACAGUAAGAGGAAGAAAAAUAUACUUCUGCAGAACUACUCAGUGCUACUGAAAUACACCACAAAUUUCUCUACUAAAUACAGAGCACAUACCUUGAUCAUCUGAUUGAAUUCAGAACAACAUAGAAAAAUCCAAAGCUUUACAUAUUUUUAUUUCCUUAUGAUGUGAGGCAUAGAAAUUCGCAUGACGGAUAGACAAUCAUCACCCUCGACCCAAACUAAUGUACACAAUAAGAAAAUGAACAAUCUUGUCUAGAGCAGCAAAACUGCAUUAGGGUCAGAUGAGAUGCUACCCUGGCACCAACCCCCCUCAGAAAAUGACUAUAAUCGGCCGUUAAUCUUCAAAUAGUCAAAACAAAUGAUAUUUUUUUACCAAAAAAAAUAAAUAAAUGGAGAAAAAGUGUGCAGAAAUCAUUUCCCUCUCGAAAACGCGCUACUGAAACAAACCGGAACAACAGACAUAAAAGUUCACUAACCACAAUCUUUGCUAAUGAACUUCCCAGUCCUGGGACUUUCAAGAGCAUACCAAGCCGGAGGCAAGGUGCAAGUACUCUCAGCAGCAACAGACGAAACCGGAAUCGAAACCCGACCCACCAACUCAGACCCGCCAUAGAACAAGCCAGACUGCUCCUCAUCCUGGUGACACACAGACACCACAAGCUCCUCAUUCACAUCAUGCACCCCGAAAACAAACUCCUCAUUCCAAACCGGGUUGGUGGUACUUCUCAAAACCCGGGUCUUGGACUUGUGCCUCCGCACCUGGAGUUUCACGUAGAUACGACUCAGAACACUACUCAACAGCUGUGUUAGCAAUUCCUGAGUAUCCAUUGCAUGGCGCUAGACGUUAAGCCUCAAAUACAGGCUUUUGAAUGCUUUGAUGUGGUCUGCUAGGUUCAACAAGCUCAACAUAUCAAAACAGUUGUAGGUAGUGCUACAAUAACGUGAGGAGUGAAUGGGUGCAGAAAACAUUAGGAUGACAACCCAUCGGUGUUAUUCCUAGUUGGGGUUGGGUGCAAUUGACGAUGACCUAAUCGUGUAUACAGAAAUCCUCCAUGUGACUUUGUCCUAAUCAAGAAAUUAAAAUAUUAUGCCCGCAAUUAUGUCCAAGCAUAUCUAUGAUACUGAAAGUAAGUUCUAAGUAAAUUUUUUGCAAACAUAUAAAAGCUGAAGAUACUAUUAUUAAAGCAGGUUUGGAGAGGACGAUUUGUGGGAGUCAGAGGGCCAUUUAGAGAAACGUAAAUGUAUAGGAGUGAAGCAGGAGAAUAACUGGAACACGAGGCAGUGAGAAGGAAAAAAAUAAGAGAAUACUAUAUAGACGUAGCAUGGUGUGAGUUGCAGUCUUGCCCUUGGAGGAAAGGAGGUUCGAAUUCCAAAGGUUAUGUGAUUAUUGGUAAAAACCUUACACCAUUUGCAGUGUAUUGUUCUGUAGAUGGGAAUAUAGUUAGCCAAGGAUAAAUUCUGCAAAUUAGCAUUUAAAUAGGGUGAUUUGUUUGCUGGCUGCGAACUGCUGUAAGCCAGAGUAUUGUUGAGAAUGAAUGUUCAUUGGAUGUUGAAAAGCGAUAAAAAACGAAAAAAAUACUAAGAAAGCGAAAUGAUAUUAUGUAGUUGUUUCUCUUGAUUUUCUCAGUGUUUCAGCAGAAAGAUUAUAGAAAUGUUGUUUUUUGAAAGGAAGCCGCCUAGUUAAAAUUUACCUUGCCCCUUGUUUUUAAUAUUGAGUUACGAUGUUUGUUCUGGACAUGGAAAUGAUUUAGUGGACCUAAUUGAUCCGCUCUCCUCAUCUCCCGCUCAUCCACACCACACAGUUAAACGUGGAUAGGAGAACCCUUUGUGAGAUAUUGCCAAAAUAACCCUGUUUUGGUUGCGCUUAGAACCAUCCCUUUAGUUUUGAUUGCCAGAAAAAUUCUUGUGUGGAAAUGUUAUGAAAUUGUUCAUAUGGAGGAAGCACUAUGACUCAGAAAUAAUUUGUUAAAAACUAACUUUUUUUAAUAGCACUCCUUCUGUGGUCAAAUGACCAUGUGGCAAGAAGAUAGUGUGAACUCUCGACAAGUGACUGCACUUCACUUUUUAUCGUUUUUUUUACUCCAUUGUUUUCUAUAUUUAUAUGCUCAAGCCAAUUGAGAUCUCCAAGUCUUUGUGAUAGGAUAAUUAUACAAUUUCUCCACUUCCUUACGCAAACUAAUUUGAUCUUAGUGAAAAUAUGUAGUUGUACUUCACUGGCAAGUCCAUUUUAAAAUUGUGAUAGAGGUUAAUGAUAACAAUGUACAAUAAGAUCGUCUCAAAGUGAAACUUUGGGCGAUAAAGAAGUGCCUGUCACGAAUUAAGAGUCUCGUGCAGUCCUCCUAUCAUUCUCCUAAAAGUAGUAGACUGAAUAGAUUCUUAUAUCUAUUUCCGUUUGAAAGUGCAUGACUAUAUGUCAUAUGAUAUUUUAUAGCAUCGAAAUAGAAUAAUAAUAUGUUUCAUUUAGGAAUAUUAUAAUAUGGAUAUUACGACUUUCACAAAACAUAAGAACCUGAAAAACUGUUCUUUGAGACAAACCCAUAAUUCUUGAGCACUUGUGCUUCCAAUAGAUAUGACACAGCUGAGUAACAUGAAAGAGAAAAGAGCAUCGGUCGGAGUUUGUGGGUAUGUUUGGUUAUUCUUACAUUUCUAGUCUAUUGCUCGUUACUCAAGAACCCGUUUAUCGAGAUGUUUGAUUUCUCCAACAAACCAGUAUUUGAUGUAAUGCUUUAAGAGGCAUCUUUAGUUUGUGCAAAUCGUUAGUUGGAAUAUGUUAUAAGAGGACUGAUAUCUGCCAAUAGUGAACAGAUAUGACCUAUAGCAUCAGAAAUUCCUGAAAACCUCCCAAAGGAGGGAGUGAGUUUUGUAAAUAAUCUUUAAGUGAUAUGAAUUAGAACGGAGUCCGCGAGAGAAACCAUCAAUGCACUCCCUCCCCAAAUAGUCCCUUUUUGCCUUCUGUAGUGUAGGUAGGUGUCGUUAUAUUCUUUCACCAUGGACUUUGAUGCGCAAGUGCUAAAACUGUGUGUGGUUGUUAUAUACUCAUUGGCACUUGUCAAUAAUGUAAUUCAUCGGCUUUACUGACUUUGAAGCAAUUUAGGUUGAACGUGCAAAACUGGAAGCUUUGUUUUUGUACAUCAGGAUGUCUUUAUAAGAUGAAUCUGGUGAUAGAAACCUUUAUGACAAGUAGAAUACUGAUUAUCGUAGUAUCAAUCUCUGUUUGAAAUAGGAAGUGAUUGCAAGAUCAGUAGCAAGUUGUACAUUUUUCAUGGCUAUGUCGUGCACAUUGUAGCUAUUUCUUGUGUGAAAAAUGAUUGACAUCAUCAUUGCAUAAUAUUAGAGUUAAGUAGGAUUCAGACCACACCUAGAGUGCACCAACACAUGUAGAUCGCAUCUCUAUUAGAGAGACGGUACAAAUAGUAUUUUGAAUGUUUAUUAGAGAAAAAAUAUGCUAACACAUCGUCCUAUACCAUAACUUUUACAAUCAACUUAUCAUUUAAGCAUACCAAUCUCUUUAUCAGAAAGACAAUCUCCUAAACUAGUACUGUGUUUGAUGAAUCGAUAAUAGCCUCUAUUAGAAAUCAUAUAAACGUGCACAAAUGCUGAGUAUCAAAAAUAUUAGAUAAGGCAGGUAAUAUUGUUAUCACAGAAACGAAGAGACCAAACGAAUAUUGCUCUGUACCACUUUCUCAUUUUCAGCUCUUAGAAUGCUCGGCAAAACUCAAUCGUUCGUCUUGUCUAUUUACCCUCUCUCGCUCGACCCCUCGUAUUUUGUCUUAUAUACUUUGACGAUUAUAUCUCUAAGCUAUUCUAUUCGAGAUAUUGUUUGCGCUCGACUCUUCGAAUUGCUUUGGCUCUGAGAAAGCUACAGUUUCAAUGUGAUGUGAGUGUUAUUGUUUCUGACAGGAAAAACUUGUGAGGAAAGCAGGCUGAGAGAUGGCACCAUUGCAUCAAAUAUCAUUCAUAUCUGUGAGUAUGUGGUAGUUUGCUUGUUUUAAAUAUUAAUAGAUCAAGUGUAAGUGAGUGUUUUAGCCGAAACCAUUGACAUUUGUUAUACAACCUUCUAACUAACAAAUGCUUACACAUCAAAGUUUCACUACCAAUUUUUUCUUUUUAUAAAUGUCUACCCUAGGACAUAAAUUUCUAAGUCUCAGAAGACGAAGGUAGGCUAAAUCUUUUUGAUACAGCUUGAGUAAACAAUCAAGUUACUGAAUUCCUUCAGUUUCCAUAUCUUUGUAGUUAGCUGACAUAUACUAACGAGAAGACUUCUAUGAACCAACAAAUUCUAUCCCUAUAAUAGAAUUAUUGUCAUGUUAAUUAUGAUCACAGUUUCUUCAAAUGUUAAAUUUGAUGGCUACUCAAAUAUUAGUUAUGUGUGAGUAAUGGUGUGAUCCACACCUAUUUCGGAUCUGCUGUGACGAGCUCGAUCGGCAAUCUGCGACAUGCAUUUUCACUCUAAUUAUACAAUGGGUUAUGUGGAUUUAUGAGAUACACAAUGAUGAGUGUCUCACUCUGAGGCCAAUUUGAAUAAUAUACUCACAACCAUCUCAAUAAUUUGAAUAUUUAUGGUCGAGUUUCUCGUGUUCUUUAAUAAAUCUCUAUGUGGGGCGAAGUGUUUUCUAAUAACUUUUGUGUGGGAAAAUAAACUCAAAAUCUGUGUUUCUUAAACCAAAUUCGACCCUAAUAUGAUACUCAACCAAUUAAUUGUAAUAGGUAAAUUAUAUAUGGUAUAAUUAGGUGUUUAUAAGAAUUAAUCGGAUUAUUAAGUUAUUCUAUAAAUAUUGCGAAUUAAUGCACAUGGUUAAAGCCAGAUGUAUUGGACUCCUCGGAGGUACAAACACUUUAAUAGCCUGAGUAAGUGUGACUGAGUCGAGAUGUGAAGCGUGUGUGCCAGAAAAGAACUGUGGACAAAUACAACUUACAGACCGGUGUAUUAAUACGUACAGAUAUGGAAAAAGCCUAAUAACUGGAGUCCCUGCGAUGUUUACAUCUAUCUACAAUCUGAUCAUAAAGGUGUGCUUUAUUUGAAAUACGUGCAUAACCUCAGGAAAAUACAGCCUCUGAUAUUAACAAAUAGAAACAAAAGUCAACUUCAGCUUAUACUUCCACUUAUCGCUAUUCUGUCCUGUGCCUUUUACUGUGCCGUUACAAAAUCUUGGUACACCAGUUAUAUUGCCGUAAAACGACACAAAGCAAUUCGCUAAGGUACGAUAAUUCUCUUAGUCCAGGUGGGGUUUGUAGGAUUAGGAUACGUCUAGUUACUUCCUUUCAUCUCGCGUCGUAGAAGUAUGAUUUUGUUUUUUGAAAUCACUUGAUCUGAUUGCAGGACGUUUAUAGAUAGAACCACAAGGCACAAGAGUGGGACGGAAUUACUGUUCGUUAAGGUAGCAAUAGCUUGAGCUUAUUCGCAAGCAUUAAAGCGGCUUUCUACCUUACGUUUUAUAAACAUCCAUAAAGUUUUCGAGUACUGUUGAUGUCGUUCUGUAUAUUUCAGUUAAUUCCUCCAAUCUCGGGGUAAUUCUCUGCUCACUUCUCAUAUCUGUGUGUCAGUGAGCUAUGCAUAAUAUUAGUACUAUGCUCGUAUGUACUUUAACUUGGGACAUUUCACCCAAGGUUUGUGUGUUUAGACUUUUCUAGAAUGUAUAUUGGUUAUUUAUUAAUAUCUGUUCUCCUAUUACAUGACUAACUUCGCGUAUUGACUCGAUUUUGAUUGAAUAUUAUUGUCUCUCGUCUGUUGCGCGGAAAAGUAUUAUAUAAUUUGGCGAAUAACUUACCACCAAGAUUGCAUCGGAUCGAUAGUACUACUGAACUCCUUUGAAAAUAUUUGUCCAUAAUGCUAGUUCUUAAGCGUUCAAUAAAUCUAAAUCUAUAGUAUAAGUGUUUUAAGGUGAGACCCAACAAACUUUCAGGUGGACCAAGUUGAGAGACUGACAAACUUCUAAUUAGGAUUCUCACGGCAAUCAUCUUCGAAGUGCCAUCGUUUUGAUGAUUUUUGUGAUGUAAUAAGAUCGCGUUAAGUAUGUGAAAUGCAUACAUUUCGCGUAAUACAUUGCAACAUACUUUAUUAUAUAUACCAGUCUAUAAUCAAUCAAAGUAUAGUGUCACGUUAAUGUUACUCUUACACUUUGAAUGAGGAUAUUCGUCUCUUCAAGAGUGGUUUCCUAUAAAGAUUGAUUUAUCGCAUAUUCCACAGUCUGAUUAUAUCCAUUCACCAUGAUGUUUAACAAAAAAAUAUAAUAUACAAGUACAAGUGUAUAGAGAUUUAGUCUGAGGAACCAUAUAGAUAUUAUAUAUUGUCGUGUAUGACUCAUUAGUCACGUUGUGAUGUGGUAGCGUGCAUAUUGUGUUUAUAUGUCACUAUUUUGUCAUUCUAUGUGAUUUACCAUAAGAAGUGUCUACAUGCUCGUUCAGACUACGAUUAUGAUUUAAUUGUAUAUAUCGUGAAUAUACUCACAAAUGUCCUUUUAGUAGCUAAGCAUUCAAGAUGAGAUCUGGCAUGAAGAUAAUAUAACAGUCAUUUAACUGUGCUCCUGUUUUAUGCGUGAGAUUAACCACAAUAUUUUAUGAUUAAAAAGGGGAGAUCACUGGCGAUUCUCUAUUAAAGUUUAGUGCAAAUUUAUGUUUUCACUUAAUUUCUUACCUAAUAUCCUUUUUUUUUGUCGCACGUUAGGUUUUUAAAGUGGGAGUUCAACUCAUAAAAUACUAAGGACCUCUAAUACCAGGUUGGAAUAUUUGGUCACAUGAUAGUAGGGUUUUCACAUGUUUAGCCUCUUCAUACCUCACCGCCCUUAAGCUGAAGACAGGUCGAAUGAUCGCCGGAUUACAGUUCAACCCAGUCGAAAUCAGAGGGUCCUCUCCCUCCACGUGUCACUUGAAAGGUUUGUACGGAAAGCGCUCUGGUUCAUGAGAUGAGAGAUGAAGAAUCUGUUACAGUUCCCGGGGUUUCAUGAAACAGUUACCGCAUAGUGACGUGCAACAGUGACAGGUCAAAUUCCUGUAUGUUCGUUCUAUACUCAGACAUGUUCUCCAGUCAGGGGUGAUUUGACCCACUGGGCGGCCCAAUAUGCUCCCUCACUAGCAGAGGAGCUUCGCUUCUCGUGCGGCAGAGCCAAUAUGGAGAGUACACGUUCAUUCUCCCGAUUUCUCGUACAGAGAGAAGGUACUUUCCGAUACUUAUCACAUAUCUGUUUCUCUAUUUUUUCCUCUAAUUUUUCACUAUGUCUAUUAUCUCUCUACCUAUUAGAUGACCCAUAGUGUUAAGCGUAGAUUCCCGCUCUCUGCAUUCUUGCAGCUCUACAUAUUGGAAAUGAUAUAAUGUACCAAAUGAACAAAAGAGGUAAAUAUGUGUCUCCCAACAUUGGCUUUACUGGAAAUUUGUGUACAAUAAAAAGGGUAUGGCUCCCUAAUUAGUUUGACAGUAAGUGUAUGACAGCACUAGUUAUUGGAAUUCUUAAUUUCUGAGAAUAAUUAUCUCAAGGCAAGGGAGUCUCGCCGAUAGUUGUGUAUGUGACAAAUCUGGUAGGACUGUAUAAUUGUUAAUUCCUCCUAUGUGUAAUGUUAAUUUCACAGUGCAAAGGAACUAUCCACGAACUGUACUCUUAGUAGGCCCUCUUGGACAGCUUUGAGUCACACUCAGUUCCUUACGAGUUCCAAAGUUGUAAGUCAAAGGUUUUAGUUCGAUAGCUAGAGUGCCAAUAUUUGGAUUUAUUGACGUGUUGAGGUUUAGCGUGUAGAUGUAAUUCCUCUUUUCUCUUUAUGCAUGUUAUUGCUAAUGUUUUUCAGUUGUGGUAGAUACUGUUAGUUCAUUUACUUUAGUUAUCAAUUAGCAAUCGCUCAUAAAACUUGAGUGUAAGCUUAAAGUUUUGAUUUGAUGGCCGAAUUUAACUUGCGUGCACCUUGUUGAAAGUUUCUUCUUUAGUGCUCUAAAAUUUCGAAAACGAUUCGGUUUUUUCCUGUAAGGCUGUGGUAACGUUUGCUUACAAUCCCUGCUUUUUGUAUAUAAUAACAUUAGUCCGCCCUCUACUGUUAGAUCUCACGACGUAAUAAUUUUGUAUUAAACGAUUUUACAUUAAGAUGUUCAUAUAUUUCGGUCACAUUGAUUUCAACUGUCCUUGUCUUGUUACGCGAGUGAGAAGAGUGCUAGGGAUUCAAGCUUAUUGAAAAGAACUAAGGAACACGGUGUGAUCAUUAUUUUGAUAACAUUAGUUAGCGCUUGAAUGCCUGGUUUACGGGACUUGCCAAAAUUCUUGUUGGCUAACUCGGAAUAGACGGUGUCAUCUCGUUCGGUGCAGGUCUGUACAUUCUAUACCGAUUAUUGAAUGUGCUUUUAGGAUGUUAUGCCUCGUUUGUGUGGCUGGUGCUAAGGAUCUUGGUGAGAUGCACAUGUCACUCCGUGUGGGGAAGAGGCAAGACGCAUUCCGCAAAGGAUCUAGUCAAAAUUAGAAGUCAGUGUUACUCUCCGUUAGAUGCAUCUACUGCAAGAGGCACUGGGACACACUCGAUUGAUAUUUUUCAUUAAUUCGAUAAGGGAGUCAAAGUUGUAGGUUUUUGAAGUGAGAGAGACCUCCAGGUUUCGGGAUUCCAAUAAUAGAAGUGAGUUUCGUUUAACACAUGUGCGAGUUACAUGAGUCCCUGACCUUAGGAAUUCACAGAAAUUAGGUUUGCAUUUUGGUGUAAAUUUUCAUCAUGAUGUGCUAAUUCAAAUUAUUGUGAGUUAGAGCCUGCUUGAAAAGUGUAACAAACCAAAAGGGUGGACCUAUGUUUUCGACAUUUUAUUAUUGCAUCCAAGUUUUAUGCCUAUCAGAGUAAACAAAACCUCGAGGAAAAGGACUAGUCGAGUAAUUUGAAUUUUGAAGUGUAUUCUUUAUACGACAGAACACCUUGAUGGCUUCAGCGAUAUCUUAUCUAAGCGAACUGGGUUUCUUACCCUGGUUUCCAGUAGCUAUUCUAUCUUUUGAGAAAAAGAUUUUGCUUAAAUCUAGAGAUAGCUAGGGUUUGGAAUUAAGUGGGACAGCCUAGUUCUUCCGAGAGUUGGGUGCAAUCCCAAAUGAUAUACCUCAAGUCGCCUGGAGACGAUAAUAUAAGUUUAGGCACAUUUUUGCAGUUUGUUGGAUCCGUGUGUAUUUUGAAGUAUCUAGAAACUACAUUUGAGGGCACUUAUCUUCCUUUUCUUCUUUAUGUUGGCUUACUACCAUUAGCAUUUAUAAUUUCUUACGAGGUAAUUUUUGCAGUGCAACGAAAUCAGAAAGAUUAGCAGCAGCAUGGCUGUGAUUGGGAAAACCGCUGUCGACAACGAUAAAGAAGACUACGACAAUGAUCCUGACGAUGACGACGUAGACAAUGCAGAGGACUCCGAGGGGGAAGAGUUUGAGCAGGAAACCAGUUGAAAUUGCUGACUACCCUCGUUCUGUUUCUGUUUGGACGGCCACAAACCUACAUCGAAUGCGGCUUUUAAGUUCUUUACGCGUAUCGUCAUACAUUAUCUUAAACAAAUUUGCUGAACUGUGCCACUUCUCUCUAUGGAUAAAGAUAAAGCUUGUGCCUUUUGUGUUUCUCUGUCCUCUUUCAUGGUCCUUAAUUAGUACUAAAACAUAUCCGUACUCUUGCUUGUGAAAAAGAAAAAGAAAAAGGAAAAGAGAUCAUUCAAGAAGGUAGUGUCUUCCACUUACGAGCCGUUCAGACCUUUUUACUUUAGGAUAAGAACUUACAUGAAACGAGUUUGUUGCUUCGUGGCGUCUUGUAUCCAAUAAUACAUUGACGAGUGCAAGCUUUUCUUCACAUGAUAAUAUAUUAUUAAAAUGGACAUCAUGUGACGGUGGACUCAUUUCAUAUAAGUUGCUCCCUAAGUUUAAAGAUAUGUACUAAAGAUAUUGUUAAUAUGUGUUAUUGGAGUUUCAAUGGAUUAGGUAGAUGGGCAGCUCCCGGAAAUUUGAUUUUUGUUGCCCUUGCCGGGAGGCGUUGGAGGAUGUUGGUCCAACAAUUGGGGAUGAAUUUCAAAUCCGUAUUCGAAACGGUAUGUUCUGAAUUCAAUUACUAACGCUGGUAAACACGCGAUGGUGGUCAGAACGAGACUAAAAUAUGAGUCUUCCCGGCACCAGACUAUCGUGACAAAACCGUCAAAUGAUCUUUUUUGUAUAAAAUAGGUAAAUUGCUUAGAUUGAAUUUUUCUUUGCAAGAAUUAUAAUACUUAAAAAAAUAGACAGUUUAGAUUGCUGUAAAACAACGUCGAGCCGGCUCCUAAAACUUCUCCAUUCUUUAGUUAUCACUUCCUUUGAAACUAUUCGUUAAGUCAAAUAGCUCAAAUUAGUCUAUUUUCCUUUAUGCAUAUAUACGAAUUGCCCCUGAUUUCGAGCUAAGUGAAAUUUCAAUCCAAAUGACAAAGAGGGAAAUGCUCCAAUGGCUGGAGAUUUUGACAAAAAGGAGCCCUGAUUUGAAGUUUUGAAGGCUAAUGAAGUCUAAUUUUGAGAAAAAAGGAGCCUAAUUUUGUGAAAUUGUAACCAAAGUAACAAAUAUUUUUUUAUUUUUUUAUUUUUUUAUCACCAUUUGAUUUGGAGGAUCGAAUUAUUUCCUCUGUUUUCUUUUGUGCUAGUUUUUGUGGGAAAUUCUUCGUAGGGUAAGAUAUGCUUGUAAAGCUUCGAAGGAUUUUGUUUGGUUUACUUGGAUGCACCUUGUCGAAAGUUCCUUCUUUUGGUGGUCCAAAAUUUGAAACGUUUCGGUUUUUAAUCCUAUAAGCUGUGUGAGCUCUACUGAUGAUUACGAAACGUUUGUUUUGGUCACAUUUGUUGUCUGUAGGUGUAAGAGCUAGGUUAAGUUAUGGAAAACUAAGAAAGUUGGAUUAUUUUGAGACUUGGUAGCCUUAAUGCCUGUGUACUGGAUUCAAAUUCUCGUUGCUAUGUAUGUCUCGUUCGGAGUCUGUAAUUCUCCGUUUUGAUUCUGAACAUUAUAUGUUUGUGGCGGCGAAUCAUGCCACUCCUGUGGGGAAGGACAAAGGACAGCAUCCUAACACAGCAUUAGAAUCCAGCAGCUAGAAGAACGGGCACUGCUCAAUGAUUUUUUUCCUUGAAGUGAGAGAGACCUCAUGGUUUCGGGAUUCCGGUAACAACUUUUUUUGCUUAAAUCUAAAGAUAGCGAAGGUUUGGAAUAAGUGGGAGGAUGCCCGGAAGGCAAGCAAAUGUCUCAUGGGGGACAGCCUCGUUCUUCCGAGAGUCGGGUGCAAUCCCAACUGGUAUACCUUAAGUCGCCUGGAGACGAUAAGUGAAGGCACAUUUUUGCAGUUUGUCGGAUCUGUGUGUAUUUCUAAGUGUCUUCAAACUACAGUUACGUUAUUAUAUCAUUAUACUACUGUGUUUUAGCACUUAUCUUUCUGUUCUUCUUUAAGUUGGCUUCAUCUGAGGUAAUUUUUGCAGUGCAAUGAAAUCAGAGAGAGUAGAAGCAGCAUGGCUGUGAUUGGGAAACCGCUGUCGACAACGAUAAAGAAGACUACGACAAUGAUCCAGACGAUGACGAUGUAGAUAACGCAGAGGACUCCGAGGGGGAAGAGAUUGAGCAGGAAACGAGUUGAAAUUGCUGACAACCCUCACUCCGUUUCUGUUUGGACGGCCACAAACCUACAUCGAAUGCGGCUUUUAAGUUCUUUACGCGUAUCGUCAUACAUUAUCUUAUACAAAUUUGCUGAACUGUGCCACUUCUCUCCAUGGAUAAAGAUAAAGCUUGUGCCUUUGUGUUUCUCUGUCCUUUUUUAUGGUCCUUAAUUGAUACUAAAACAUAUCCGUACUCUUGCUUGUGAAAAAAGAAAGAGGAAAAUAGAUAAUUCAAGGUAGUGUCUUCCACCACCUAUGAGCCGAUCAGAUCUUUUAACUUUAGGAGGACUUACAUGGAGCGGGUUUACUGCUACUAGGCUUUCCGUAUCUAAUAUAAAUUGACAAGUUCAAGUUUUUCUCCACAUGACAAUGUAUUAUUAAUUAGGACGCCACGAGGCGGUGAACUCAUUUCAUGUAAGUUGCUUUCUAAGUUUAGAGAUGUACUAAAGCUAUUGUUAAUAUGUGUUAAUGGAGUUUCAAUGGAUUAGGUAGAUGGGCAGUUCCUGGAAAUUUGAUUUUUGUCGCCCUUGCGGGGAGGGGUUGGAGGAUGUUGGUGAUAAAAUUUGAUGCAGUUAUUUAGUAUUAUGGUCCGGUACUUUUUUAUAUGUAAGUGACGGGUAUUAGGUUUGAAUCUCUUUAAUGAUCAGUACAUACCAAUUAUUUCUUAUAAUAACGGAGCAAACAUAUGAUCAUUGACUGCUCAUUGUUGGAAAAUAUUAGUAUUUAGGUUUUAUUUUAGUAUUUGGGUUUUGCUUGUUAGUUUAGGAUUGGGGCAUAGCCUAUCCGAGUUAGGGUUUCUUAGGUUUAGUUAUCUAUAAAUACUGCUUGUAAUUUAGUUGGAGAAAUAAGUCAUUCACAAUGUAGUCUCUUAGGAUUUUGUAGCCGUUUCGGCAUUCUUGUUAUUUUAAUAAUAUUCUUUCUAUUUUGUUAGUCUUGUUCGUUGCGCACUCUAAUAUUCAACUUGGUAUCAGAGCAGGUUUGAUCAUUUGGGAUUUAAUUUGCUUCGAGUUCGUAUCUGUUUGCUUGUUUCCGUUGUCGUUCGUGUUCAGAUUGUUAGUUGGUAUUUAUUGUUUGCAAGAAAAAAAAAUUGUUUGUUCGUUUUUUGUCCCGUGACUCUGCUUUUGCACCUUUGAACGCCGCAGCCUGCAGGAGUAUCCACAAGUUUGUAUUGCUGCAAAGGAAAAAAAGGGGAGUAAAAAAAAAAAAAGGAAGAAACAAGAAAAAAUUGGUUGCUUGUUUGAGGCCCAUGCGGGCAAAGGGAAAAAAAAAAGGAAAACUAAUGAAAAGGGCUUGAAAACUUUGAGUUUUAAUGAUAAGGACAAAAUAAAGGGUAAAGUGAAUAGUACCAGGAUUGACUUUUUAGUGUAAAAAUGUGGUUUUUCGUUAAAGUGAACAGUACCGGGUGCUUUUCGUUAAAGUUCCCAAAAAAAAAUUGGUUGGAUUUUUUGUUUGUUUGUUCGGAAGUUGGCAUCGUCAUCAGUAUUGGCAGCGGUAUCGACAUCGACAUUGGCAUUGGCACUGGAAUUUGGAGUUUUGCAUCCACAUCUACUUUGGCAAACCCAUGUCGUGUACCGCCAUGAGUUUGACGGGGGGGGGGGUGUUGGAAAAUAUUAGUAUUUAGGUUUAUUUUAGUAUUUGGGUUUUGCUUGUCAUUUUAGGAUUGGGGCAUAGCCUAUCCGAGUUAGGGUUUCUUAGGUUUAGUUAUCUAUAAAUACUGCUUGUAAUUUAGUUUGAGAAAUAAGUCAUUCACAAUGUAAUCUCUUAGGGUUUUGUAGCCGUUUCGGCAUUCUUGUUAUUUUAAUAAUAUUCUUUCUAUUUUGUUAGUCUUGUUCGUUGCGCACUCUGAUAUUCAACUCUCAUGAUAUCAACUCUUGGUUUAGUGUUUGUUUUGACAAAGUUGAUCAGGUAGAUGAUAACUAUUUGUUGGCCAACUCUAUACUUUAUCUAAACAAUCAAAACCAAGUUUCAAUCCACAUAUUACCUGUGCAAAAUUUUAUCCCAAACCAAAUGUGAUUGAGACAAAUCACCACGGGAUGAUCUAAUAGUUGGGAACGAAUUCCAGAUUUAUGUUUUACACGAUAUGUCCUGAGUUUAAUUAAUGGCUCUGGUAAAUCACGCUAUGGUGCCUAUGAUGAGGCUAAAAUGUGAGUCUUCCCGAUUCCAUAAGGAUGGAUUGUCGUGGACAAAGCCACCAAAUGGUCUCUUUUGGUUUUGGAUCAAAUAGGUAAAUUGCUUAGAUUGAAUUUUUCUUUGCAAGAAUUAUAUAUGAAUAGAUACUUAAAAAAUAAACAGUUUAGAUUGUUGUAAAACCAGUGUUUAACAAAUUGGGUGGAAAUAUCGAUAUGUAAAUUUAUGAAAAUAUCCACAGAUAUAUCGAAUAUUGAUAUCGAUAUCGGUUGCUUUUGAUGGAAAUUAUGAAAAUUUAAAAUAAAACUUUAAGGAUUGUCAAACAUUAGUUUGGACGAAAUAUAAGCGUUUCUCCUAUAUUUAACAAAUGUGUCAGAAACAUAACCGAUAUAUGUCGAUUUUAACCUAAAUUUAAGUUUCUUUUAUGUAAGCGAAAUUUUAACUUCACCCUCCCAUUUCCAUAUGUUUCUCUGAUUUUAUGGAUAUUAGAAAUAUCGACCCAUCGAAGAAAUUUUAAACUCUCUGUAAAACAAUGUAGAGCCAGCUCUGAAAGCUUGUCCAUUCUUUGGUCAAAUGACCUCUUCUUGUUUUAGUAUUUUAAAAGUGGAGUGGUGUGUCUCUAGAAGCCACCCAAAGGUUACUUCAAGCUCACAAAAUUAUAAGUUCAGACUCGAGACUAGACCACGAAGCAUCCACUACUUAGUCCUUAUCCCUUUUAAAACUCAUUCCUCCUCCUCAGGAGGACCCAACUGGCCAGCCCUCCACCCAAGUUUGAAAAAGUAUAUUCGCUUUUGGCUUCUCGCAUGUUCUUUCUAAUUUUUAUACUAUUAGUCGGCAUCAACCUGGAAGGUUCAUCUCUUAAUUAUUAAUCCCAUGUUAAGGGCCGUAUUAGGAGUCUUAAUUAUCAUUAAUUAUUAAUUCCAUUUUAAAUCAUGUUUUAGUGUACCAGUAAUACGACUCGGUACAACAAGUGUAAUAAAACAAUUGGUUAAAAACUUAAAAAGAAGUUCCAACCAAUUAUAUUAUAACAUUUAACGUACCAAACCGUGUUUCCAGCACACUGCAAAAUUUCUCAUAUUAUGGGUCCUAAUUAAUCAUCACUAAAUCUAAAGACCAGGCUGGCCGUCCUUAUAAUUUCAAGGCAUAUGCGUUUGGGAAUAUUCCUCACGGGCCCGCAGCCAAAACGACAUCUGGUUCACAUGCGAAACGCAAGCACCACCUGCAAACAUAAAAGGAAAAGAAAAAAUAAUUAGCACACAAAAAUACAAAUAUUAACAUGAACAACGAAAUAGAGUAACAGAAACGUUACGUGUCAACGGCGAACCGACUUUAAUUGGACUAUUUUGUCCGGUAGAAAACAAUAACGCACUACGUGGCACGUAGGGAGGGACAUACUGCUGGCAGUGUACAGCGCUGAAUUAACGGCGACAAACGGUAUCCAAACGAUAAAAGUGGUACCGUGAUUGACGGCGCCACAAAUUUCAAGCACUACUAUAUUUUUCUUUGCCAUUAUAUACGACUUCGAAAAAUAUGUAUAAAAAAAUAUAAAAAAUUAAAUGAAGAAAAAAAAAAUCCUUCAUUCCAAAACGCAAUCACAAAAUUUCACCCUCUGUAUAUGUUUUUUAAAAUAUAUUUUUGAUUAAUUACGUCAUCUAUGUCCUCUGUGUGAAGCUCCUUCCAUACGACAUGUCGCAUUGGGGAACGUGAGGAUGAUGGUGGUAGUGAGGAUGAUGGUGGUAGUGACGAUACUGCUGGUAAUGAUGAACAUACGACAUGUCGCAGGGGCCACUCCUCUGACUCUGAGGCUGGAGAUGGCAAGGAUAGUAGCAGACUCGUCCGGACCCUCGCUGAUGCCCGGCGGGGUAUCUAGCAGGCGGCGAAGCGUACCGUUUCGGUGGCGAGACUUGCGGCGAAACGUAGCGCCUCGGUGGCGAGACUUGAGGCGAAACGAACCGUUGCGGGGGCGAAACUCGAGGCGAAUCAGCGGAUGAGAAGAGCGAUUUCGAAGGGGACGAGUCGCCGCCGCUCGUAGCAGUAGACAUCGGAGGCGAGAUUUGCUUCAGGGACUUCGGCGGCGAGAGAAUGGCUCUGAUCUUCAGAGAAUGAGGGGGAGAAGAAGCUCGACCGUACUCUUCUAUGAUAUUCGCCAAAUCCUCGUCGGACUUGACGGAAAUCAAGGUCUCCAAGUCUCCAUUCGGCAACGGACACCGCAAUUCAACAGAAUAGCCACACAACUCCGCAAGCUUCACCAUUAGCUCUGAACACACAAAAAAAAAAUCGAAAUCAGCAUCGAAAUUGAAACGAAGCAACUGGAAUCGGGUCCAAAUUUUCAAGAAAUUAAGCAAGAAUCGAAAGAAAAAGAUCGAACCGGAGACGAUCGAACGCACCUGUAUACGUAAUGGAUGAAUCGACGGAGAGGACGCGAUUGUGGCCGCCGACGUACCGGAGCGUGCCGUCGGAAUGGCGAGGGAGGAUUUUUCCGCCAUAGCUGCAGAGGAGUUUUAACGGUUCAGGUGCUUUGUUGAGGCCCAUGGCUUUCAGACUGUUUUGGUGGUUAGAGAGAGAAAGAGAGAGCUGCGAGAGGGAGAGGAGAGAGAAGGGGCUUUGGAGGAGGAGAGGUGCUUGAGGGUUCAAACCUCAGAGAGUGAAUUUGUAGAAUAUUUAUAGGUGGGGAGGAGUGGCGGUGACGUCAGCGAGAGGCCCACACGCAAAGCAAGGAAGGAGCCUCAUUGUUGCGGUUGCUUCCUCUAAUUAUAAUUCCUAGUCGUGACUGGAAAUGUAAUUAGCAGUAAAUUAGUAAUUAGGGCUGCUGUUGAAUUUCGCUGAUCUAUUCUUUUUCCCUUUUCUCAUUCAAUGGAGUGGGCCUCACCGGGCCCAUUUAGGUGGCAUCACAAAAAAUAAAGUUUCUAAUUUUAUUUUUUAUUUUUUAUUGUUUUAUUUUUUUUUUGGAAAGGAAAAGGGGAAGGCGGUUAGAUUUGAUUCGGAUGUCACUCCAAAGUCCAAAAGGAAUCAUAAUUAAAUAGGUAAUCUACUAAUCUGUAGUUAAUUUAGACAGUUUGGUUUCAAUCUUUUCACUUUUUUGUAGUACAAGCGAUCGUAAGAGACGGAUAAAUCGAAUCCAAUACGCAAUAUGCAAGAAUAAAUAUUCUUAAAUCGAUUGGAAAUCAAUUUGCCUCCAGAAUCUUCCAAUUUAAUCCCGACCAAGAAUGACGUUGCUUUUUAAGCAUAAAUAGGUGCAUUUUUUUUCUUUUUGGUCAAAUAUAGGUGCAGGUUUGAACAUUGAUGAUGUACAUAUUGUGUUACCAUAAUUAAUCAGUCAUUAAUUAAACUUAAUGGAUGGUAAAAGAAAAUAACUUUAACUGCAAGCUUGUUAUUUCGGGUGUCUAGGUUGAUGACAUCAUUUCUAUGAUAUAUAUAGACAAUUGGUGAUGUGACUUAAAGAAGUAAAUACAAGAUGUUGACAUGGCUUAAUCAUAAUCGUUCAAAUAUAAAAACUUAAUGAGUAGUGUCUUUACUCUUUGUCUUUCUCUUUCUAGAAAAAUAUAAACAUAAAAUGUUGACGUGACUCAAUCGUUCAAAAUAUAGAAACUUAAUGGGUAGUACCAAAAAUAAAUCCACUGUAGUGGUGAAAGAACAAAUAAUUUGCUUUUGGAUCAUUCAAAAUUUCAAAGAGUUGGACACUCCACGAAAGGUCCCAUAGAAAGAAUUACAAAUGUUUUGAUUUGGAUUUGGCUUUCUAUACAUGUCUAGAAAUCCAGUGGAAUUCUCCAAGUAACCAUCAUAUCUCCAAAACCCUAGAAGAUCAUUUCAGUUCAAAUAUCAAACGUCAUACCAACUUGUUGUGUGAAAAUAAUAAGGUGGAUGAAAAGAAAAUGAGUUUUCACACUCCUUUUGCCUAUAAAGAGAAGCGAAACAAGUUUACUAUAUAGUGACGCUUCUCAGGAGGUCGGCUGCCUAUCCUAGAUCUUCUCAUUUUCAAGAAGAUUCCCGCUCUAUCUGGUUUAGUAUCAAGGUGAUUCUCAGGCCAUUAAUACAUGACUAUAAAAGUACACAACUAUCUCGACAUCAAUAUUUUUAUUAGUAGCUAUACGCCACGAUGUCAAUGAAGGUUCCAUACAUGCAUGGAAGUCAGUUUUAGGGGGGGAGCGAAGUGUUUGGUCGUACAGGACUCCAAAAUUUAAGGGGAUCCCAUAAAACUUUUGUUAUCUAAUAUAUACAGCAACAUUAUACAUAUACUAAAACCCAACAUAAAACAUUGUUUUAGAAAGAAAAAGAAAUGUGCAAGGUUUUGAGAGGAUAGAUGUACAUAUGUCUCACUUGGCUUGCAACAAGGAGAUCUGCAUUGGCAUUUUCUUUCUUGGAACACACUGAUCAACUGCCACCAGAAAGCUGAAACGCCCUUUAUCGCAAGAGCAUUAAAGACUAAAGAAGCACUAAAUUUACGUAGCAGUAAAACUGACUCUGGACUAAAAUCUAAGUUAAAGACAUUUUAGAAAAAAUAAGAUAAAAUAGUGAACACAGCAGAAAAUAGACAUACACAAAUAAAAUAUAAAAAAUCAGCCCACAAAUUUUAAAAAAAUGAGACUCGCUCACCGCGAUUUUUCUGUGCACCUGUAAUUAUGUAUUGUAAUAAUUUAAUUUCACUCAAUUAAAGCACAUAUUGACAGACAACCGCUUGCAGGGGUUUACCGCAUAAGACCCCUUGCAGAAAAAAAGCUUUAUCCCAACAAGUAGAAAAUUAGAAUGAUAUAAGAGGUAGCACGCUUUCUGUAUUUAUGUAUGCAUUUACUUAUUUAUUUAGGUCAGCCUUUUGUGGCGAAAUUUUUAGUUGUAAUGGAAACGCAAGUGGUACAUCAUGUGUUUUAAUAGGAAUUGUGAGAAAUUUUAUUUUUUAAGUUAUUAAAUUUUUAUCACACAUAUCCCACCAUUUACAUAAUAAUACAUGAUGUACUAUUCCGUGUACUGAUCAUACUGAAAAAUCACUCUGCUUUGUGAGCUGUUCAAACCGGGUUUUUGCAGUGCCGAUGUUGAUUUCACGUCUGUAUAUUGUACUUUUUCCAUUUUGUUGAAAGAAAUAAAAAGGCCAGUCCCCGACAGUAGGGUACGUGUCGUUUACUCGUUCCACAUGCGGACGGGCCAGAAACGUCGACACGCAUAAGGUAACACCUAACCGAGGCGACACGUGGAGAGACGCGUGGCGUCAAGGCAGCUGGCGAGGAUUCUGUUCAUAGGAUGGUUUCAUCAGGCACGAGGAGCUAAUUUCAUCCACUUGAUUAUUGUGGUGGCAAAAUUUAAGGACCUAAUGGCAGGCAAGACUCUCCGUGUAUAAAUAAUGAGAAAUUAUAUUUUUUUAAUUAAUUUUUUAGUAUGUACAUUCUUUUAUUGAUAUAAUAAAAUGUAAUGUAUCAUCUCCUGUUACAAUUAUACUGAAAAAUAUUUCAAGGACGUGAUGGUGUUGGCCCACAUGGCAUAGCUCAUUGGCUCGUGGCUGAUAGCGAAGAAGAAUUUAGACCAAUCUGUUAUUAAUGUUCCCCUCUAAUAAUAUAAUGGUAUAUAAAAUGAUAUUGACUUGUUAUUGUUUGGGAUGCCAUCAUAUGUCGGUAUACUAAGUUUAUAUCUUAAUUUGCUAUCCAUACAUGUUUUCUUGGCUGAUUCUAAUCAGGUAUCUCGCCCUGACGUUUAACUUUAAGUUUGUUUACUUCUUCGGGGAGUUGCUGAAUAAAGGGGUCUUGAGUGGUGGAGUCAUGUAUAAUUUGAGCCUUAGUAAGUUUCCAUCAUCUCUUGGACGCAAGGAAGUUUAAUUGUUGGAAAUUUGAGUAGUUUGAGUAAAAAUUUAUUUGUCCCACAUUGGCUAUUCCCAAAAAAUUUUAUCACUUUAUAAGGCUUUAUCAUUUAUAGAAAAUGAUUGGAGUAAUAGGCAUGGAGACUAAAAUUGGGCUCACCCUUGGGGUUAGGUUUUGGGGUGUACUAAUUAAUUGGUAAUUAAUAUAUAAUUAAUAUAUAUUUAAUUGUCAAAAGAUGGGCCUUGGGCCUCUUGGGCUCUAAUAAUUAAAUUAAUUAUUUAUUUUUACAGAACGCAUAAACAAAAACACAUUUUUCAGCAGAUGUCUCCCAACAGAUGCAUCCAUUCCUUAUACCUGUUGCGAACAUGUAUAAUCACAGUAUAUAUACAUCCAUAUGCAUGACAUUUAGAACACAAAAAAAAAUCAUAAAUCUUCUCCUGCAAUCAUAAACAUCAUUUCUGAGAGAACCACAUUAAUAUUCGUCAGAAGUCAAUUUUCUGGUGCUGGAAUUUCUGACUUAGAUCGUUGAAUCCUGGUGAAGCAGACGUUCGUAGAACUACAAGCACUGAGUAGGGGCGAAAUUUCUGUUUCAAGAACAUUGCGGUACGCAAGCCUCGAUCUUUUGUUACUCUGCUUAAUUAAUAUUUCAUCUUGUUGAGUCUCUGAAAUAUAUUUAUUCGUAUAUAUUAUUAGCAUAUUUAUUUCAUUGCGGAUUGUUGACAUAUAUCCAACAGUUUAGUCAAGGGCAUGUGGCUUUUCCUUGGAUUCACCAUAUUGACUUAUGGAACGUGCCUGUUGGAAGCCCCCCUUGUCUCCUACACCCUCUAGUCCCUCCAAGCCUUAUUGCUCCUUUUUGGAUUAGUAGCUAGUCUGGGUCGUGGUAAGGGCCAGAGUCCUUUGGAAACUCUUGGGUCAUUGAUCUUUGAGCCCGUGUGGAUGGGUUUUUCUUGAUACUGCCUCAAGAAGUCUCAACAAUAGCGAUAAAACAACUUUUCAUCAUUCCACUCCUUCUGCGAGAAUGUAUCUCCUUCCAUUUUUCCUGCUUUGAGUCAAAAUAGCUGGGUUGAGAGAAGUCUCGUGUUGAUCAACAUUCUAAUGAAAAUGUCGUUCAACAUCCAUGUUGAAAACAAGUGACCUUCCGUUUGGGGGGUACCCACAUGAUGAUCAACAAUCAUGAGGGCGAUUGUCUAGACUCGUAAAUCAUCUCAAAGAGCUUCUUAUAAUGUUCUUGGAAGAUCUUAUUCCUAAUUGUUAUCUUGUUGUUCUCAGUCUCCAGCUCUUUAACCUUAGCUUGAAGAGCAUCUUUCCUUCUUUUCCUCAUUUAUUGUUUCACGCUAGGCAUGAGGGAGGAGUCGUUCUGCGUGUUAUGGCUUCCUUCGCUCCUCAUGUUGGUGAGAGAUACUUGAUCGAAGGAGAGUAUACAAAAUAUGAAAACUAGCCUGACAAGGCAUACAUACUAGCGAAGAUGGAACACCAACUGUAUCACAUACAUUACAUAUUUUUUUGUCUUUUUUCUCCUAUCUCAAGUCUACUUACAUGUUAACUUAUGGUAAAUGAGUAUCAAAAUUACUUUUAUCAAUGGAUUUCUAAUUUCCCUACCUGUGAUUUUUUUAAUUGUUUUUUGUUGUGUUUUAAGAAUAAUUAAUCAUAAAUAAAACAGUUACGCGUUUGAUAAACUAUUUUUCAUAAGUAAUGUGAGUGUGAAAAACAAUGUAAACGAAUUUUGUAAAUUUAAAAUACAAAAGUGAUCUAAUUGUAUAUAAUGACAAAAAUGAACAUAGUAAUAAGAGUAGUGGUAAUGACAGAGGUGGCAGUGGCAACAAUGCGGUGGCAAUGAUGAUGGUGACGGGAGCAACAUAUUGUGAGGCUUCCUGAGGUGGUUGUGGUGGUCACAGUGGUGACGAUUGUGGCGGCGAAGAGGGUGGUAAUUGUGGUGGUGCUCCAACAUUAGUGGUUAAAGUAAUAUGUGGUUUGAAUACUUUGUCUUCCAAUGGAGAAAAUCCGUACAGAAGGAUAAACAGUGUCGUUUCAAAAAAUUAUGAUAGAAUUACAAAAAAAAUUAAAAAUUUCAUUAAAGCUCAACUUGCUUUUUAUGAAAACAGCUUUUACAAGCUAACCUGCAAGCUACUUUUAAAACCUGGUCCGGAGGCCAUUUCUUUAAAAAUAAGCAAGAUAUUUUAUUUUAACUAAACACUUUUUACUAUUUAACUUUAAAGUAAAACAAUACUUGACCAAAAACAAUCAAACGGUCGUACUAAUUGUAAUUCAUUUUAAUUUUAUUUUUAAAAUUUAAAAUUAUGCAUCCAUGAUGAAAUGGCAAACUUCCAUGUCAUUAGUUUUAUUCUUUCUCAUGGAUCUUGAGUGAGGGUGUUUGGACUCCAUAUGAUAAUCAAACUCACAGCAAUGGUGGGGAGGAACCAUGUUUGAUAAUGCCUCUAUAUAUGAUUGGACCUGUGGCUUACGUUGUCAUACACGACUCUCGUUGCUUAGUCGUUGGGAUGUAAUCUGGAAGCUCGUGGAAACAGACACCCUCCUUCAGUCUUGAAUUGACUAAUAAUAUUUAUGGUAGUCAAAAUCGGCUCUGGUGUUGCCUUAUCUCUUCUAUCUUAUGCUUUCAAACUGCAUUAAUUCGUUGACCAACUAGGAGCAACCUUUUCCCUUUCAUUUUGCUCCUCACAUAUUAUCCUUAUUUUGUAAAUAAGUUAUUUCUAUGAUUCGAAUCCGUGACAUUUUGACCUCAAAGAGGCAACAUUUUCACUAUGCAAGGCUCGCCCUCCUCUAUAAGCAUACAAUAAUCGUCAAUUUUCAAAUACGUAAUGUGAAUUUUCAUUUUUAAUGUAUGAGAUGUUUAAGAAGAGAAAAAUGAAAUAUUGUACCUAGAAUGCUUGAGUUGCUCUUAACGACAUGAACUACAAUCUCAUUGCAAGCAUUCAACCAGCAUUCCAAGUUGCAGUUCAAAUUUGUCAAAUUUUUUUUCAUUAAUAGCUUAUAUGGAAAAAGAAAAUUUAAUAUAAGGUUCGUAUAAAUGCAUUGAACUAUUUCAACUGUAACAUUCUUGAAAAACCUUUUUUUUUGUAUUGUUACCAAAAAAAUUUACAUGUACUUUGAUAACAUUACAUGACAAUGUCACAAAAUUAUUAAGAUUCUUUCUCCCAUUUAAUUGUAUGAAAGUAAAAACUACAUCAUGCACAAAAGGAGAAAUUUUUAAUGUGUCGAGAAUACGAUUCAGUACAUCAAAUAUUUUGAUAUAAGUGGUUCAAAUUUUAUUUUUCAAGUAUUCAAUAAUUUUUACUAUGACAUUUAAUAUAUUAGAUCGAGUAUAUGUGCGCAUUGAAAAUUCUCUCCAGAAGAAAAAGAAAGAUACAGGUCCAAAUGAAUGAUAAAUGACUAGGAUUUAGUCCUAGCACCGCACCCGUACAAAAGUAUGACUAAUCUUUCAUUAAACGAACAUAACACUAGUCACUCCGCCCACAAGCUUUUUCCCGCUCCCCGGCGCCAACCUGAAUCUCUACGGAUGAGACCUUUCUCAGCCGUUCUCCUCCUUCUCCUCCUCCACCACCGCUUCGUCUCCCCCACCUCCGCUCUCGACUUCCUCUUCAACUCCUUCUCCAACAUCACCAAUGCCACCAACCUCACUCUCAUCAACGACGCCCGACUCGACGGCGCCGCCAUCCGCCUCACAAACGAUACCAACCAGUUCGCCGUCGGCCGCGUCUUCUACCCAAAGAAAAUUCCCAUGAAACCCACCUCCAACUCCACCUCCGUCGCCUCCUUCUCCACCUCCUUCGUCUUCUCCGUCCUUCCGGACAUUGCCUCGAGCCCUGGAUUCGGCCUCUGCUUCGUUCUCUCCAACUCCACCUCGCCGCCCAAUUCCCUCGCCAGCCAAUACUUCGGCCUCUUCACCAACACCACCGUCCCCUUCGUCGCCCCGUUGCUAGCCGUCGAGUUCGACACGGGUCAAAACCCGGAAUUCAACGACCCAGAUGGGAAUCACAUCGGAAUCGACCUUAACAACGUCGAUUCCGCCUCCACGACCCCCGCCGGGUACUACAACUCGACCGGAGGAUUCGUCCCGGUCCAAAUGCGGACCGGGCAGAACGUCCGGGCCUGGAUUGAAUUUGACGGGAGUAAUCUCGAAUUCAACGUCACGGUCGCCCCUACCAAUGUGUCCCGCCCUUCUCUGCCAACGCUUACUUACAGAGAGACCAAGAUUGCGAACUACGUAUCGGCCGAGAUGUUCGUUGGGUUUUCGGCUUCGAAAACGCAGUGGAUUGAAGCCCAGAGGGUUUUAGCUUGGAGUUUUAGCGACAACGGAGUCGCCAGAGACAUUAACACGACAAAUCUGCCCGUUUUCCAGCUGGUUUCUCCGUCGACUUCGCUGUCGAGUGGGGCGAUUGCCGGGAUUUCAAUCGGUUGUGUCGUUUUUGUGUUGAUCUUAGCAUCCGGGUUUUACUUUUACUGGUGGAAGAAAAGGAUGGAAGGCGAAGAAACCGACGAGAUCGAAGAUUGGGAACUGGAGUUUUGGCCGCACAGAUUUUCCAACGAGGAGCUGAGGGAGGCGACGGGAGGUUUUUCGAACGAUCAGCUUCUGGGUUCCGGCGGGUUCGGAAAGGUUUACAAGGGGACCUUAUCAAACGGCACGGAAAUCGCCGUCAAGUGUGUCAACCACGACUCGAAGCAGGGGCUGAGGGAGUUCAUGGCGGAGAUCGCCAGCAUGGGGCGGCUGCAGCACAAGCACUUGGUUCAGAUGCGGGGCUGGUGCCGGAAGCGGAACGAGCUGAUGCUGGUGUAUGAUUACAUGCCGAAUGGGAGCCUCAAUCGGUGGAUUUUCGACAAGCCGAAGAAGGUUUUGGGGUGGGAUAGGCGGCGGCGCGUGCUUGCGGAUGUGGCGGAGGGGUUGAAUUAUCUGCACCACGGGUGGGACCAGAUGGUGGUUCACAGGGACAUUAAGUCAAGCAAUAUUUUGCUGGACGCGGAGAUGAGGGGGCGGCUCGGGGAUUUUGGGCUGGCGAAGUUGUACGAGCAUGGGGAGGUACCGAAUACGACGCGUGUCGUCGGGACGUUGGGCUACUUGGCGCCGGAGCUGGCGACUGUGGCGGCGCCGACGGCGGCGAGUGAUGUGUAUAGUUUUGGGGUGGUGUUGUUGGAGGUGGCGUGCGGGAGGAAGCCGAUUAAGAUGGACGCGGCGGAGGAUGAGGAGGUGUUGAUUGAUUGGGUGAGGGAGUUGUAUGUUAGAGGGAGGGUGGGGGAGGCAGCGGACCCGAGAAUAAAGGGGGAGUAUGAGGCGGAGGAGAUGGAGAUUGCUUUGAAGCUUGGGCUGGCUUGUUGCCAUCCUCAUCCACAGAGAAGGCCUAACAUGAGGGAUAUUGUGGCGGUUUUGGUUGGUGAGGCCGCAGCCGCCACCGCACCCGCCGCAUUGUUGUCUGAAUUGGCAAGGGGUGAUAGUAGCGUUGGCGGCGGAGACGGCUGUAGUGAUGAAGAGUCAAUGGAAGCGGCGCCACUCCAACUCCGGCAGCCUUCAGUUUGAAUAUGCUUGGUUUUUCUCUUUUCAAUAAUAUUUUUUAUUGUUUUUCAAAGAUAUAAAAAUAAAUUGUGAGGUAUACAGUGUACACAUUAACCUUCAAUUUUUUUUUUACUUUGAAAUAUAUAUUUUUUUUCAGAUUGAAAUCUUACGUUUUGACCUUCGAUCGAUUUAUACUUUAUCUUAUGUGAGAAUUUGAAAUGUUUUUUAAUAUUGAAAUCCAACGUUUUGACAUUUGUCGAUUUAUCCUUUAUAUCAGGUUUAUUUAAAAGUGCUUUCAAAAUGAUUCAAAAUAUUUUUAAAUAAAAUGUUUUAGGUUCAAAAAACACUUAAAGUGCUUUUGAAAUUUCUAUUAAAGUUUAGUUCUAAAAACAUUUCUACAAAAAACGCUUUUAGUCAUUCUGAAAGCAAUUUCAAACGAGCUUGUUAUGUGAUUGUAUGGCCAAUUACUAAUUAUUAACAGUAGUACGAAGUAACGGGAUUCAUUCUCAAAAUCACUAACCAUACCAAAGACCAAAACGAAAAUACACUCUGUUAUACUCUCGUUUUUUCAUUAUGUAUCUUUAAUUUUCUUUUGUGAAAAAAGAAACCAGGACCUAAAUAUUAACUUAAACCUAUCUCUCUCUCAUCACAAAACCUAAAUGAUUCAAACACACGUGAGUCGGAUAGAUGUGUUCUUCAAGUCUCAUGGGUCAUAUUCAUAAGGAUUCAAUUUGCAAGAGGUGCAUAAUAUAGCAUUGAGAACUCUCCUAUAUUUUUAGUUAUGCACCUAAAAACAAAUUAAAAACCCUCUUUCUGUAUAUUCAACUCUCAUCAUUUCUGUUCUAGAGCUUUCUCUUCCACCUUGACUAGUAUUUAGUUUUUAUGUAAUGACGUUAAUACGAAAUCGUAUAUGUUUACUACUAUACGAUAUUGGAGUACACUAAAGUUAUUUUUUGGCUUGCACGUUCAAUUUUCAAUUUUGGCAUCAGUAAAGGCUUUAAUCGUUACGACAUCAAAUGCCAAUUGUAGACAUCGAAAUUUCGGUAAAAUAAAUGUUGAUCAAAAAUUAAAAUUUCAAUGUUUAUGUGUCACAUAAAUUUUACACAUAACAUGUGACUAAACGAAAAAUCAAAAUAAAUCGGAAAAGUCAUCAAACAGGACACGUGUCAACACCUGUCAGAGAUGAUUUAUUCCAUCUAAUUAUUUAAAUCCAAAAAAAUCAAGUUUUGGAAUUCUAUAAAUAGAAGGCCAAGGCAUUCAUUUGAAGGAGACCAAUUCAUAACCAAUUCACUUCAUAUCAAAACCUUGAAGCUUUGAAACUCAAAAGCUCCCAAGCAAAUCCCGAAGGAUCAAGAGAGCUCUCUUCGUUCUUCGUCAAAUCCUCAUUCAAGAUCAAGCCCCAACGGCCCUUGAAGAACUUCCACUGAUUCAAGAUCAAGCCCGACGGCCCUUGAAGAAAGUGUUCAUCGUUCAUCAUUCGUUCAUCCCUAGAUCAAGCCCCGACGGCCCUUUGGAUCCACGACGUCAACAAAUCUGCACAACUGUUUAUCCCAAGAUCAAGCCCCGACGGCCCUUUGGAUCAACAACAUCAAAUCUACCCAUUGCAAAGAUAGAAUCAGAGGCUAAAUUUGUAGAAGAGAUUGUAACCCCUAAAUCAUCAAUACAAAUAUUAUUUUGUACACGUGUUUCUUGUCUCGUUCAUCGCAGGAAAAUCCCGUGUUCACAAAUUUGGCACGCCCAGUGGGACUAUCUCCACCUCUCAUCUCUAUCUUUGAAUCCGCAAAAAGCACAAAUGGCAUCAAAGAAGGCUCAAGUUGUUCUCGCGGCCAAUGCAAGGAACAAGAACGUUAUCACCGUAGGCGGUGUCACUUCGGGCAUCAUAACUCGAAGCAAGGCAAGAGCUCUUUCUGCCACAUCUUCCACCUCUGCAUCAACUCUGCCAAGGGAACAAAAACACCCAAGGCACGAGCCUUUGAUCACCUUAGCCUCACUAAGGGCACCAAGGGGGGAAAGCCCAAGGAAAUACUCCGAAUCCAUGCUCUCCGAUGCCGAUUCAAGCGACAGUUUAGCCAUGCAAGUCAUGACCAUUGGAGCAACUGCAAUCGAUGAGCAGCUGGCUCAAAUGAAUGAAGCAAUCGCAAGGCUAACCCGAACUGUGGAAGAAAAAGACUUGCAGAUUGCAGCACUAGUCAACCGACUGGAGGUGCAGGACGGCGAUAAACCCGACCUAGAGGAUGAUCCACUAAAGGGAGGAGCUGGUGGAGACGAAGAACCCCCGAUGAAGAAAAUCGAUGGGAAGCCGGAGCCAGGCCAAGCAGCGGCACUCAUGGGAUCUCUUUCUAUCCAGCAGCUGCAGGAGAUGAUCACCAACACCAUCAAGGCACAGUACGAAGGGAGCUCACAUACCUCCUUGUUCUACUCGAAGCCCUAUUCCAAGAAGAUUGAUGCCCUAAGGAUGCCAAAGGGUUAUCAACCACCAAAGUUCAUGCAGUUUGAUGGAAAAGGAAACCCAAAGCAGCACGUCGCACAUUUCGUCGAAACCUGCAACAAUGCAGGGACGGAAGGAGAUUACCUCGCCAAGCAGUUUGUGCGCUCGUUAAAAGGAAACGCCUUUGAGUGGUACACAGACCUGGAGCCCGAAUCCAUCAACAGCUGGGAACAGUUGGAAAGGGAAUUCCUCAACCGCUUCUACAGCACCCGUCGCACCGUGAGCAUGCUAGAGCUGACAAGCACGAAGCAAUGGAGGGAUGAGCCAGUCGUGGACUACAUCAACCGAUGGCGCAAUCUGAGCCUCGAUUGCAAGGACAGGCUCUCGGAGAUCUCUUCGAUUGAGAUGUGCGUCCAAGGCAUGCAAUGGGGGUUACACUAUAUCCUUCAAGGCAUCAAACCACGGACAUUUGAAGAGUUAGCCACCCGUGCCCAUGACAUGGAGCUAAGUAUUGCCUAUCAUGGGAAGAAAGAGCCGAUCACCGACUUCAAGAAGGAUAAGGUGUUCUCCCCAAAUGUAGACAAGACUGGGAAGAAAACCCCCAAGGAAGCGUUCACUGUCAGCACUGCGCCCGUCAAGACCGCCUCCGCGCCUAUCAAGAUCUCCUUCAAAACCAAAGCAAAGGAGAUAAAGAAAAGUGAGCCUCCUCGCACCCAAGAAAGGUACAAAAGCACCUUGAAGGAAUUGGAGCAGAAGGUAUACCCUUUUCCUGACUCAGACAUGGAUGCAAUGUUAGACGAUUUGCUAGAAAAGAAGGUAAUCGAGCUACCCGAAUGCAAGCGGCCUGAAGAAAUGAAUCGCAUAAACGAUCCUAAGUACUGCAAGUACCAUCGAAUCGUGAGCCAUCCUGUGGGUAAAUGCUUCGUCCUCAAAGAGCUCAUCAUGAAGCUAGCACAACAAGGGCGAAUCGAGCUCGACCUCGAAGACACGGCCGCGACACAUACUACUACAAUUGCAUUUGGAACUUUCGAUCCCGUGCCUCUCCAAGUAGCACUUGACCAUUCCUAUCAAUGCUCAAGUUACACGAUACCUUCUGCGCAACCAUCGCCGGGGGCAAACGAACAAGAUACACAUGCCGAUGAUGAAGAAGGAUGGACAUUGGUGACCUACAAAAAAACAAGGAAACCAAAACCACAAGCCAUAAGACAAAAGGUGGAACAAGUGAGAAAGCACCGUCGCCGCAACAGUAGGAAGCCCAAAAGCAACGUAAAAGUUGAUAAGCCAAUGUAUGCUGGGGAACCUACGGAGCAAAAGCCACGCAUUCCUAUCUUAUUGCACGAGUACUUCCCGAACGACUUCUUCCAACAGGGCAUUAUCGCUGCAUGCCACAUGGUCGAAGUAGAAAUAGAAGAACCUUCAAAAGGCAAAGAUAUCACCACUGAGGGAGAAAAAGUUCUCACGCUCGAAGAAGGUCUGCCAACACACUUUAGCAUUGAGGAAGCACUGCGAUUACCAAAGAAGAUGCGAAUAGCAUUAGCAGCGAUCUUGGAAAGUCCCAAUGACCACGAAGUGCAAGAAAGUAAGAACGAAGGCUUCAAACUUCGGUCACAUGAAUAUGACACAUGCUGUGCCAUCGAAGACACAAUCCAUUUCACCGAUGAAGACUUGCUGCUAGGAUCCAAGCCUCACAACCGUCCUCUCUUCGUCUCUGGGUACGUAAGGGAGCACAAAGUCAACCGCAUGCUUGUGGAUGGUGGAUCAGCCAUAAACAUCAUGCCAAAGUCAACAAUGACUACAAUCGGCAUCAAGGCGGAUGAACUGUCCUUAAGUCGUCUAUUAAUUCAAGGUUUUAAUCAAGGAGGACAAAAAGCAAUGGGCAUGAUCCGAGUAGAGAUGACUAUUGGUGAACUCAAGUCAAGCACGAUAUUCCACGUGAUUGAUGCAAGAACUUCCUACGGCUUGCUCUUAGGAAGGCCUUGGAUCUAUGCAAAUGGAGUAGUACCGUCCACCCUUCACUAAUGCUUGAAAUUCUACCGAGAAGGAGUGAAGGUGAUCUAUGGCGACACCAAACCAUUCACCGAAGCCGAAUCACAUUUCGCAGACGCCAAGUUCUACAUGGGUGAAGACAUGGUGCUCGAAGCUCUUCCAAAAGAGAUCAAAUCCACGGGUAAAGCAACACCUAAAAAGCAGGAGUGGCAAGCCAUGCCCAAGAAGCAAGAAGAAGAAGCCAUGUCGUCUUUAAGCAAGAAUGAUGAUGAGCUUGCUAAACCUGCAACAACCAAAGGGAGUAAGACGCCUUCAAAUGUACUAAACACACCCGUUUUCCGAUACAUCCCGAUGUCAAGAAGAAAGAAUGGUCAAUCCCCAUUCGAAACCGAAGCAAGCAAAGCUGAUGCACAACGGUACAUGGAUAAUGUAAAGUUGCUCAAGACGAAUGCAGUUCUACCUCUGACACAACUAAGCAACGCUAAGGUUGCAAGAUUACCACAAGGCUUCGUAAAAGCUCUACCAAAGAGAGCGGAACCAAGUUUUCUCCCAACCAAGAGGACUGAAGAAGGUUUUGAUCCGAACGCCUACAAACUCAUGUCAAAAGCUGGGUACGACUUCACUUCUUCUUCAAAUCCUGGAAAAAAGGUUUCAAACACCGUCAACAAUAAAGAACGUGACCUCACCGAGACUCAAAAGAAGUUGAAGAAGCAUGGUUACGGAGUUAACAACAACAAAGCUGGACUUAGCUUCACACCAAAUGCACCCGUGAAGAUUUCAAGACAAGCGAAAAAUGCUAGCACUCAACAUAUCAGUGUGAGCAUUGAACAAGAUCAAGAGGAGCCUAAAUUCACCCCUCGAACGCCAGUCUUCGAUAGGAUGAAUCGUUCAAGACCCAGAACGUCAGCCCUUGAUCACAUUGGUGGUCAAAACCGAACCUCCGUCUUCAAGAGGCUUAACAGGCCAACCUCCCGAAGCUCUAUUUUUGAAAGGUUGUCAAAACCUAAUAAGCAAAGCAACACAGCUAGCUCUCCUCCUCGUCAGUCAGCUUUGGAAAGACUUGAAGACAACAUGAAGUUUUCUGGAAAUAGGGAAACAAGGUCAAAGGAAGAAAAGCUCGACAGGCUAGCAGGAAAAGGUGAUAUUCGAAGCUCGAUUCCUUCAAGGAUGAAGCGUCAAGCAAUCUUGGAGGUUGACGCAAAUGGACCACUGAUAGUAAGAAGGCGCACCAUCAUCCAUACUGGACAAUCUGCAUACCAACAAACCCAAGAGGACGACAUUAAAGAGGAAGUCCAAGAUGUCUUCCACAUCACGAUCCAAAAAGGCAAAGAAGACGAGACCCUUGAAGAAGAUGUCACUGCUGCACCACCACAACUUGAGGAUGGGGGGCAAGCCACGGUUGACGAUCUCAAGGAGCUCAACUUGGGCACAGAAGAGGAGCAAAAACCUAUCUUUGUAAGUGCACUGCUAAGAGCAGAUGAGAUAGAGGAGUACUACCAACUGCUAUCAGAGUACAAAGACGUCUUCGCCUGGACUUACAAAGAAAUGCCCGGCCUUGACCCUGUCAUCGCUGUGCAUCAUCUUGCAGUCAAGCCUGGAACACGACCAAUAAAGCAAACUCAAAGGCGAUAUCGAUCCGAGCUCAUUCCACAAAUCGAGGCAGAGAUUGACAAGCUAAUUGAAGCAGGAUUCAUUCGAGAGGUGCAAUACCCCAAGUGGAUCUCCAACAUCGUCAUCGUCCUUAAGAAAUCUGGACAAAUACGUGUUUGCGUAGACUUUCGGGACCUCAACGACGCUUGUCCGAAGGACGACUUCCCCUUACCAAUCAUUGAAAUCAUGGUGGACGCAACCACUGGCCACGAGGCACUGUCAUUCAUGGACGGCUCUUCUGGAUACAAUCAAAUUCGUAUGGCUCUCGAAGACGAGGAACUAACGGCAUUCCGCACUCCAAAAGGUAUCUACUGUUUACAAGGUGAUGCCCUUUGGUCUAAAGAACGCUGGAGCUACAUAUCAACGAGCAAUGCAGAAAAUCUUCAAUGACAUGCUACACAAGAACGUAGAAUGUUAUGUGGACGAUGUGGUGGUCAAAACAAAGAAAAGAUCAGAUCACUUGAAGGAUUUGCGAGUAGUGUUCGAAAGGCUGCGAAAAUACAACCUCAAGAUGAACCCAUUAAAAUGUGCGUUUGGCGUCACCUCCGGAAAGUUCCUUGGCUUCAUUGUCAAGCACCGUGGUAUUGAAGUGGACCAAUAAAAAAUCAAGGCCAUUCAAAGCAUGCCUGAGCCAAGAAACCUGCACGAGUUGAAAAGUCUAAAAGGACGGCUAGCCUUCAUCAGACGCUUCAUCUCCAACCUUGCAGGGCGUUGUCAACCGUUCAGCCGACUCAUGAAGAAGGAUGUUCCGUUUGUAUGGGACGAAGCAUGCCACAAUGCUUUUGAAAGCAUAAAAAAGUAUUUAUCAAGUCCGCUUGUCUUGGGGGCGCCUGUACCCGGGAAACCACUCAUAUUGUACAUCGCCGCUCAAGAAAGUUCAGUUGGAGCACUCUUGGCGCAAGAGAAUGAAUCCCAGAAAGAAAGAGCGUUUUACUACCUCAGCCGAACCCUCACCGACGCCGAGUUAAACUACUCCCCAAUAGAAAAGAUGUGCCUUGCCUUGGUGUUCGCCAUCCAGAAACUCAGGCAUUACAUGCAUGCGUACACCAUCCACUUGGUUGCAAAAGCUGACCCAGUCAAAUACGUCAUGUCCAAACCCGUCUUGACAAGGCUCCUCGCCUGCACGAGCCUAAACUGUAUGGCACAACGCUCCUGGUCUGCACGAGCAUAAAAGGCAACACCAACCGCUCCUGGUCUGCACGAGCAUAAAAGGCAACACCAAAGCUCCUGGCCCGCAAGAGCAUAAACUGUGUACGGCAAAAUCAUCAUCAAAAUCAUCAUCAAAAUCGUCAUCAAAAUCGUCAUCAAAAUCAUCAUCAAAAUCGUCAUCAAAAUCAUCAUCAAAAUCAUCAGAAAAAAAAAUGCAUAUGAACUACGUUACGACUUGAUCUCUUCUUUAGAAGGGUACGUAGGCAGCCCGAAUAUUCAAAAUUUCAAGUUCAGUCACAUCAAAAUGUAAAUAAAUGUUUUAUUAAAGAAGGUCAAUUUUAUUAAAAAAAAAAAAAUGAUGAAUACAUAUGUUUAUGUAUUUAAAAAAAAAAAAAAAAGGGGUAUAUAUAUAUCUCUAGGCCCAGCAGCAACAAAGGGCACCAGCCCAUGCCCGGUUAUCUCUCUCAACCUGACAAGCCAUCUCUCCAAAACCAAUGAGCCCAGCAACAAUUACAGGCCCAAACCCCAGCUUGUCUUCUUCUGCUCAGCGAGGAUGCUCCAGCUCCGCCCACUGCAUCUCUCUCCACUCUAAAGAUCGAGAAGCGGAUCUCGUCGGUCCUGAAGCGCGAGGACUGUCAGCGACCUCCUGAUGCUAUUGUCACCUACAACGGCGAGAUGCUGUUCGAUCUUGAGAAGCUCUGCCUUCGUCCUCCUCAACAUCGGCGAAGCCUGCCUCCUCCGUCGCUGAACCUCAACCUCAGCCUCAGCCAGUCCCAGUGCCGUCGCGUCUUGGACGUCUUUCUUCAGUUCGACCUCUACGACAAAACCGCCUCCGCCACCGGAAUCAGACCCCCAUCUCCAGCUGCUGCCGCUCGUCAGAUCUGAAUCUAUAGGUGACCAUCACCGUCAGAUCCAACCGACGAAGAACCAUCAUCCGCAGCCACAGCCGCCACUGCAACAGCAGCCACAGCAACAGCAACCGCCGAAUCAGAAUCCGAGUCAACAACCGAGGCCUAAUCCAUGGAAUACUUCCUCUUCUACCAGAGCAUAGGGGCCCAGAGCGCCUGCUCCACCUGCAUCUCCGGUUGGAUAGGCCCCGAACAUCUCUCCUGAUCCUGGUACUCUUGUUCCUGCAAUGCAAUCAAUGGCAAUUUCAAGUCAGACACCCUCUUCAUCUUCUUUGGAAAAGGCGAGCAAUCAUGUGCCAGUGAAGCGGCCUGAUCGUGGGGGGAUGAUAGCUAUCCGAACUGCUAGGCUCCGCGCUAAUCAUUUUAAUCUCAAGUUCAAUCCUGAGAGUAUUAUAAUGCACUAUGAUGUUGAUGUUAAGCAAUUAUCCACGGAUGACCCUCGAAUUUUCCAUUGUUAAGUACAGCAUAUGAUGGUGAAAAUAGCAUAUUCAGUGCAGUGCCGUUGCCCACUGGAUCAUUUAAGGUGGAAGCUCCUGAGGAAGAAGGCACGCGGUUCAGUUCGUACAUUUUUACUAUAAAGCUUGCAAAGGAGCUGCAGCUUUGCAAGUUGAAGGAGUACCUAAGUGGUCAGCUGUUGGAUAUCCCUCGUAACAUAUUACAGAGUAUGGACUUGGUGAUGAAAGAGAAUCCAACUAGGCGCAUGAUUGCUUUUGGGCGAAACUUUUUCCCCACUGAAUCUCAUCCAAACGAUGACCUUGGUUAUGGUGUUGCUACCUUCAGAGGCUUUCAGCAUGGCUUGAAGCUCACUUCUCAGGGUCCUACCUUGUGUCUGGAUUACUCAGUCUUGGCAUUUCAUAAACGCAUGUCAGUUAUUGAGUUUCUCCGACAGCAAAUAAGGGGAUUUACUUUAAAUAAUUUCCAGAGUUAUAGGAGAGAUGUUGAGGAUGUAUUGAAGGGAUUGCAAGUUAACGUGACUCUCCGCUGUGACCCUCUUCCCAAAACCUUAGCAAACUGCACUUCUCUGUUCAGACUCCGAAUCCAGAACAACCAAAUCAACGGGUCGGUUCCGACUGGUUUUAGGUUAUUACCCAAUCUAACCUUCGUCGAUUUGAGCGGCGACAAUUUCACAGGCAUGAUCCCGGAAGAUCUCGGCAAUGCCGAAGCUCUCAGUUACUCUAACAUUUCGCUGAACCCAUUGCACUCAGUCCUUCCGUCAAACAUCUGGCGCGCACCAAAUCUGCAGAUCUUCUCUGCUAGCUCCAGCCACCUCACAGAAAAAAUCCCCGACUUCAUCGGCUGCCAAAGCCUGUACAAGAUCGAACUUCAACGUAACGACUUUAACGGCUCGAAAUCCCCGGACGUGGAGAUCCCAUUGGCAGGGCACACCAUGAUGCAUGACUUUGCGAUCAUCGAGAACUACGUGGUGAUCCCGGACCAGCAGGUCGUGUUCAAGCUCGGAGAGAUGAUCACGGGUGGGUCCCCCAUGAUCUACGACAAGAGCAAGAUGUCGCGGUUCAGAAUUCUUAAGAAGAAUGACGUCAACGCCGACGACAUCAUCUGGGUCGACUCCCCCGACACGUUCUACUUCCACCUCCCGACACGUUCUACUUCCACCUCUGGAACGCGUGGGAGGAGCCCGAGUCCGCUGAGGUCGUGGUGAUCGGCUCCUGCAGGACGCCGCCCGACUCGAUCUUCAACGAGUGCGACGAGAACUUAAAGAACAUGCUGUCCGAAAUCCGGCUCAAUUUGAAAACCGACGAGUCUAGUCGGCGAGCUAUCUUGUCUGAAUCGGAUGAUGUGAAUUUGAAGGCCGUAAAAGCUGAAAAGUCACGGUGCUGGUGGAGAUCAUAGAGGUAGGGUCGCAGCGGCAGAAUGACAUAUUGGUGGCAAUUUUGUUGCGGUUGGAGUUGCAAAUUCAGGACCGUUUGAUAAAGAUGAAAUCUGCAAGUUUGUUCUUGCAGUUGCUCACCGCAGGCAGACACCUGAGCUUUGCCGCUCUCUUGGUUUAACACACAAAAUGCCAGGACUUGUUGAAUCAAUGGUCUGCGGUGGGAAGAAAAUUGAUGAAGUACGCUUUAUUCAUGUCUUCCAGCUUACUGAAGGAUGAUGUUAAUGCAAAAGAGCUUGUUGCACUGAAAGCCGUAAUAAGGUACGUUCAAGAGUUCAAGCUUGAGGCUGAUUACCCCUUUAUCCACUACAGAAAAGGGUUCAUCAAUUAGAGCGAUCCAAAGCUGAUAAGAAGAGAAGUAAUGAAUUUAAAAGCAGCAAAAAAAAAAAAAAAAUAAUCAGUGGAAGAUGGCAAGGCGGGCAGGAAGAAGCUCAGGCUCUCCGGGGAUCAGUCAGCUAUCUCUACUCUUCCACCUUCUCUCUCUCUCCUCCGCAUCACUAUCUCUUCAGGUCACCCCGAGGUAGUGAAGCUGAUGUUUGAUGCUGAUAAAUUAACAAGUGUGAUAAACAGCAUGGAUGAGGACGGACGGCGGUUGACCUGCCCAUCAUUAUGCUGCCAGUAAGGGAUGGUUUGAGGUGACUCAGAGUUUGAUCUCCCGUGGUCAAUGAUGAACAGGCUGCUGCUUCACCUUCGUUUUGCUCCCCGCCUUCGGUUUCCGAGUUGGGCUUGAUGCUCGAAUCACCCACGCUUCUCCAGGACGUCAAGCUCCAGCUACUUCUGCACCUCCGCCAUGGCCGCUGCUUUUGAAUGUGAUUGACAAAACCAAAGUUUGUCAACUCAUACCCAAAGGCCUUCUCUCCGUCUGUGACAAACAACAACGAAGAACUUCAAUAAACCGCCGUCAAACGACUAGCCGGUCAUGAAGCCUCGACUGCAGCUCACCGUCCGUCGAGUUCCAUCCCUACAAAGCACCAUAUAUAAAGAAAAAAAAAAAAAAAAAGGUUUUCAAAUGGUGACCAGCCACCGAAAGCAAAGAAAGAAAGUGAUUGACAGAUUGACAGGCACAAUCCAAAAGGAAAUGAUAAAAAGCAAGAAUCCAAAAGGAAAUGAUAAAAAAAAAAAAAAAAAAAAAAGAAAGACAGGUCAUGGUGUAUGUUACUAUUAGCAAUUAUGAAAAAAGGAAAUAGGUGAUGGAGACGGAAUAAUUGAAGGGAAGAAAGCAGGGGGAAGACGACGAAUUUCCGUCUAAAAAAAUAGGGAGUAAAAGAAUAGUGCGCAUCAAGUACCAUCUAAAUACAACAACAACAACAACAACAACAACAAAGCCUUUUCCCACUAAGUGGGGUCGGCUAUAUGAAUCCUAGAACGCCAUUGCGCUCGGUUUUGUGUCAUGUCCUCCGUUCGAUCCAAGUACUCUAAGUCUUUUCUUAGAGUCUCUUCUAAAGUUUUCCUAGGUCUUCCUCUACCCCUUCGGCCCUGAACCUCUGUCCCGUAGUCACAUCUUCGAACCGGAGCGUCAGUCGGCCUUCUUUGCCCAUGUCCAAAUCACCGGAACCGAUUUUCUCUCAUCUUUCCUUCAAUUUCAGCUACUCCUACUUUACCUCGGAUAUCCUCAUGCCCAAUCUUAUCCUUUCUCGUGUGCCCACACAUCCCACGAAGCAUCCUCAUCUCCGCUACACCCAUUUUGUGUACGUGUUGAUGCUUCACCGUCCAACAUUCUGUGCCAUACAACAUCGUUGGCCUUAUUGUCGUCCUAUAAAAUUUUCCCUUGAGCUUCAGUGGCCUACGACGGUCACAUAACACGCCGGAUGCACUCUUACACUUCAUCCGUCCAGGUCGUAUUCUAUGGUUGAGAUCUCCAUCUAAUUCUCCGUUCUCUUGCAAGAUAGAUCCUAGGCAGCAAAAAACGGUCGCUUUUUGUGAUCUUCGCUAGAUUGCUCCGGUCAUUAGUGUGGAUAAGUAUAUAAAUGAAUAGAGAUAGGAAAGCAAACACAAGAUGUACGUGGUUCACCCAGAUUGGCUACGUCCACGGAAUAGAAGAGUUCUCAUUAAUUGUGAAGGGUUUACACAAGUACAUAGGUUCAAGCUCUCCUUUAGUAAGUACAAGUGAAUGAUUUAGUACAAAUGACAUUAGGAAAUAUUGUGAGAGAAUGAUCUCGUAAUCACGAAACUUCUAAGUAUCGGAGUGUGGUAUCGUCUUGACUUGCCUUAUCUGUCUCAUAGGUAGAUGUGGCAUCUUCUCUGGAAGUACUCUUCCUCCAUCCAGGGGUGGUAUCUUUAACUGGUGGAGAUGCACAAGGUAAUGUAUCAAUUUCACUUGAAGCUUACUUGUAGUUUCAGGCUUGGUCAAGCGCGAUACAAACCAUGUAGUAGGAGUCUCCCAAGUCGCCGAGCUAGGGGAUCUGCUGAAAGAGGUGACAGACAAGGUAAGCAAUCAGAGCUCCGGCUGAUUGUUCACCUUCUCCCCAUCUUGCAGCAGCAUGAAGGAUAAAGAGAAGAAAGAUGAGAAGAGAUGAUAUGGGAUACUUUUGCUUUUGAAGAAGUAACUUUCCACAGGCUUAUUCUUGAACUGAGCUGGAGGGUUUUCUGGUUUCCUCCAGAGCCGACUGAAGAAUUUGAGGGUCAAAACAAGUCCAUC